rnacentral:lncRNA from 1 species
UUUUCUUUCGUAGUUUUGUGUUUUUGCUGCAAUUUUAGUUUCUUUUGUUUGCAUUUUUACUGCACUAUGCUUGAGAAAUUAUUAUAUGGAGAUGCGGAAUUAUAUCUAUACAUGCUUGUUUGUUUUAUUACUGUAUUCAAAGUCAAAACUUUACUGUACCUCUUUGUAACUACGUCAUUUGUCCGUAUAUGUUUUGGCCUUUUCUUGUUGUUGCUUCUGCUUGUUAUUGUUGCAUCCUUUUCGUUUUUCGUUCAGAGGGCCUAUCGAAAACAAUCACUCUACCUUCUCAAAGGUAAGUACUACUCUACCCUCCCUAGACACUAAAUUUAUUGUUGUUGUUACAGCAAAAGAACAUAUAAUAUAGCAUAACAUAAAAAACGGUUCAUUAAAAAACUUGACCAUUAUACGAAAAUGUAGUUAGAUAUGGAAGAUUGUUAUAGAGAAAUCUGAUUGUAUUACUCUUUUACUUGAACAUACAUAUAUGGUUUUGAGUAUUAAGAAUAAAGAAACCAAUCAAUGUCAAACUGAAUUUCUUUGCUUCAUCUCAACUUCUUCACAUCUCAGAGAAAAGACGAUUGUUUUUCUAUACAAUAACACUAAGAAAAUAACAUCUGGUAAAUCAUGUUUACACAUUGGACAAUCUUUAUAAUCGAUGUCACAAUAGCAAAAGGAUAAAUAUACUACAUUUUUUCUGCAUAAGUUGGCUGAAAGCGAAGUAAAUUGCCCCUGUCGAACUCCAUAACUACUGCUGGCAGAUUUAUGAUUCAUCCAUAAAGACAGCGCCGUGUCCAUUAGCUUUCAUGAAUUUCUUAAUCAGAAGUGCAAGUAUAGCAAUUGUAAGUCCAACUGCUGCCCAUGUGAAGAAACGGUCAUCAGCCUGCCUCGGAAUGCUCUGUUGAGGUGUAUGCAAUAUUCGAUGCUCAUUAGGCCGUACAGCAGGGGGCUCUAUAGGUGCAUGUACAGGAUCAGCAUCUAAAGCCAAUUCACGUCUUUCUUCAGUAGUUGUGUCAGCAACAGAUGGAUUAGGACGUCUUUCUUCAGUAGCCUCAUUGCUGGGGUUCUCAGGACUCUCUUGAACCCCGUCCUCUCUAUUACUGUUCUGUUCUUCAGGAGCUGGUGAGGUAGUAGCUUGAGGAACUGGUGGUGCUUUGCUUAGCAUGUAAUCAUGUAUCUAUAAAAUAAACCAACUAUUAAUUCUCAUGCCCACAGAUAACAACAUAUUGGCUGUCAAAAUGAUAUUCAGAUAAUGCUAUACCUCGUCAAUCAGCUUCUGGCGCUCAGGAAUCCCAUAUCUUGGAGCCACAUCACGAGAUUUAAUAGCUAAAACACGCCUUUCUUCCUUUGUGUAUUCUAGUGAUCCAAGGGCACCAUUUGGGCUGGUAGGCAUAAAUGCGAUCAGAGCUACCAGCGCAGUGCGAACUGCAAAUCAAAAGUAAAACAAUUAAAUACAGGUUAGCUUCAGAAGCUGUGCACCUGCCAAAACAUGGGAAACAGCAUCCAUUAAUUCAGAAAACUAUACCACACAGUAGCUUGAUCCACCGAAAAAUGCUCCUCUCUAGUCAAUACAACUAAGGAAUAAUAAUUGCAAAAAAAGGUUGCUCACACUUCACUUUUUUAUUUGAAAUUUUUGCCUACUACAGUGUCUGCAUUUUUGUUUUGCUCAAGUACAGUACACCAGCAGCCAUUAUAAAAAAGUUUAGCGCACGUAUUCAAUCAUAUCUUCUAUCUUUUACAUCCAUCAACACAACCUCAUGCUAUAUUUCAAUAACAUAGACUCAGCUAAAUACAGCCACAAGUUAAAAGCAAUGGAGCAUAUAAUUUUCGAGGGAAAUUUCCAACUCAUGCAGAUGAAGAUAUCUUUUGAUGUCCUAAUAUGUCAUUGCCUAAAAUUUGCAACAAGAGGAACUGUUCUAUUGCUUUCAUGUAAACAGGGUAUCUGUCAAUAUAUCCCAAGAAAAGAACACUAAGACAACAAUAUGAAAGUGAAAUUCAUCAAAAUAUAACACAUAGGGAAAAAUGGUAAGAGAGAAUGAUGAAGUUACCACUCCAUGACGGUUGCCAGUGCUCAGGAUGAUGAUUAGAAAUACUCAAACAAAUCUUGGUUUGCGUUUCAAAACGUCCAUUUGGCUGAAAAGAGCAAAACCAUGAGUUAGCAGAUUAUUAAUAUUAAACAUGAAAUGAAUCAACUCUAAACCUAGAUGGUAAUGGAAUUUGGCUUCUCCUGUUUGUAGCCUGACCCAUCCACAAAACAGACUCCCUUUUGCACCACCACCCCCAUUAAUCCCAUCUAUUCUCUUUCAGUUUGUUAAUCCGCGUACCUUUUGUUUUCCUUUUCCAAACUUUUUCGCUACCCUCCUGAACGAAUUUGUGUAGCGGGGGAGGGGGGGCUUGGGUCACACCUCAAAACUUAUUCAAGAUUUGCACAUGGGGCAAAGCAACGACUUCCUUCAGACUCUUGAGUCAGAUCUUAUCGUAUGGUAAAAAAUUUCCUAAGAUUUGCCGACUUUCCACUUGAAUUAGGAAUCUCUUAGCCUCUUUUUUCCCAUGAUACCUUUUUUUAUCCCUUUUUUUCACAUCAAAACUUAUUAGCACCCUGCCCGGCCCAAUCUGUAAAGUCUGCUUGUGGCAGGAUGGGGUUUGACCAACAACGCUCGCCCUAUUUUAAUUAAUAAACCUUGUUCCAUAAAAUGACUCAAGGAGUAAUACAAGCUUUUAAAAUAGAAAGUAACUCACUGUCAAAAGCAUGAAAGAAGGAGGCUUGAAAGGAUAUUCGGCAGGUAACUGGAUUCGCCCAUGAUAAAUCCCCCCUUCAAACUCAGAAUCUCGUGGACCCCUGAUUGCAAAUUGCCAUUCAAAUAUGUUCUCCUGAAAAAGUAAUAUAAAGUUCAGUUUCAAAUUGCUGUGUCGUUGUGCAACUUCUAGAAUUAAAAAUAACUUGUAAAUGGAAGACAACCAGUCAUUUAUCAACAGAAUUUCAUGCAAGACGCAACCUUUUGAAAGUUAUAUCGACAGAAUCAAUUAUGAUGAAAUUCAUUUACCAGUGAUGGAUUCAAGAUCAUAUAUACACAUGUUACCUCAUAGGAAUAGAAGGAAAAUGCCCAAAAAUCAAAUCUUGACCAUGUAUAUCAUAACACCACAUAGACAUCACACAGAGAGCUAGAAGAGCACAUAGAUCAUUCAUUGUUAGUGAGGUUUAUUCUUCAGCAGGAUCAACUAAUAUCCUUGACAUAUGAACUUAGAUCAUAAAACUUUAUCGAAGCUUAAGAGUUUUAUAUCAUGAGCAUUCUUAUAUAGAACCACUAUCAUAUUAAAUACUAGAAAUCAAUGGUUGCUGCCUUGUCCAAUUUUCAAUUUAUUUUAUUUUGUCAGCAGUAAAUACAGCAAACAAGUUUUUGCCAAACAAUUUCAAAUUAUAAAACUUGUACAUCCAUGCAGGAAAAAUUGCAUCAAGGAAACAGCUGCCCUACCAAUGCAGUAAACCAUCACUUCCAUAGCAAACAAAUACACACACGCCUCCCCACCCCUCGCGACAAAGCAAAUUAGCUAUAUCCUCUUACCUUGAAUACCAACUAACCACACACCCUAUUUAUAUCUACACUCAUACAAGCAGACAAAUUCUCCAAUGUAUUGGACACUUCUUGCUUAUCCCAGUAUAUUUGACUAACUUUCAAAUGGAUCCAGUAAAUUUACUUACAUCCACUUGUUUCACAAUUUUAGCUCAUGUCAAGUGAAUUAGACUAAUUUUCAUAGCCAAAUCAAACUACAUUAAUCCUCAAUUCUGAAAAUUAACACAUAUAAUUUGCAAUUCACCUAAAAAGUUAAUCUUUUUAAUAAAUUUGAAUCUCACAAAGCAAAAAAUGCACCACAUUAAAAUUCUAGAUCCAAACAGAUAAAACAUGAAAGGAUAAGAUCGAUUUCAUAAGAAAAAAAAGGAAAAUUAAGCAAUUAAAUUGAAACCUCAAGAGGAAGGCUCAUGAAAUCAUCGGAAGGGUUUGAUUGCAUCUCUUUAACCUCCUGUAAGAUUCUCUUCACCGCUGGAUUUUUCAGAUUAUACUUGUCUUCCGCCAUAUCUGUUACUCAGAGCCGCUGCCGCUGCCGUCGCCGCCGUCUCUGGUCACCGUAAACCCACAGCCGGUCAAAAAGUAGCACCGAUAAUGAUGAAUAUGAAGAAAAAAAUUGGUGGGUGAGAAUAUAAUAAAUAUAAAGAAAGUGAAGAUGGCGGGUGACGCGUCAUCACUAUGACGUGGCGACUAAUUAUUGGAUAAAAUGACAAAAUCUUAAUGAAUUGUUUUAGUAUAAUAAUAAUUCAUGAUUAUGAAAAGAUUAAUAUAUUGACUAGAAGGGAUGGAUUUAUAGCUUACCGCUCACGCUUAUCGAAGUUAUGCUCGAAAACUUCGUCUAAGGAAUAUUAUAGAGAGAAUUUUAUUUAUAGCUUACCCCUCACGCUUAUCGAAGUUAUGCUCAAAAACUUCGUCUAAGGAAUAUUAUAGAGAGAAUUUUUUGUGUUACGAUAAAUUAUUUUAUACCAAUUGAGUUGUUAGAGGCUUCUUCAACGUGACAGUUAAGUACUAUAUUGUAGAUUACCCUAACUUACUUUUCCCUUACUAGGAUUGACUCUUUAUAAUUCUCAAUUUAGUAUUUAUGAUAGAAGAAAAUUGAACAAAUUUCAUGACAUUUACGAUUGAAAAUUUUGAAACAUUACUUGAAAAGCAUAGUCGCAAACUAUCGAAUAUCAAUCAUUAUUCCUUAAAAGGCGUGUAAACUUGAUUAAAAGAUUCAAGAUCCCAUUAGUUGAAAUGCAAAGUAUGAAACACAUGAUGUUGAAUUCUCAAAUUGGGGACUUGUAAUCUUGUUUCCUAUGGGUAAGCCUCGAAAAGAGGAAUGGGACACAAAAAGACAAACUUGUGGAGAACUUCACCAUCUAGAAAAAGUAGUCUUCUAAAACUCCAAAAAAUAAUUUAAAAAGAUGUAGCUAUCCAAAAACAUUAAUAUUGACCCUUUUAGUGUGAGACUAAAAAAACACCAAUGACCAAAAUCAACCAACACAUCUCCAUCAUGUUUUACUACACAAGAAAGAAAGAAAUUAAGCAACCAAGAGAGAGGCAUGGAAAAAAGGGCAAAACCUUAAACAACAUUGCAUAGUCAUACAAGUUAAGUCUGAAAAGAAUGAGAUGUAUGCAAAUCUUAUUUUUAUCUUUACGGGCUAAAAAAGUUUCAAAAAAGGCAAAAACUUUACCUACACAUAGUGAAGUUCUAGUUCUCUGUCCUAAUUCAUUCUUUCAAAUAAGUAACUAAAAACCUUGAAGUUGUUGAGGUACAACGUCGUUCCAGUAUGAUCCCACAAGUGAGAUCUACUAGAUACACAAAUCUUAUUUCUACCUUGUGUGAGGCAAAAGAUGUUUCCGAUAAACCCUAGGUACAAGAGAAGUGUUUUCAAAAACAGGUUUGACAAAUACAAAAUAAAGUCAUGGUGAAAAUACUAUAGAAAGUUGUUGAGAUACAAAAGAGAGAAAACCCACUGGACUUGAUAUGUAGAGUAGCAAAGAGAUUGGGGGGGGGAGGAAGCCAAGUGAGCUACCACUGUAAAUCUAAUGUACAUAUAUGCAGUAAAUGUUAAUUGUCCCACUCAAAUUUUAAUAUACAAUUAAGCAACAUUGAAACAGAAAAUUUGGCCUCAAGCAACACUGACCUCUCUAAAUUGAAGAAUAAACUUUUCAAGGGCAAAAGUUGGUGCCCAUACAUUGCAUACAAGUGCACAUAACUAAGGAAAGUGAAGAUGGAGUUGGGGGUAGAGAUGAAACCAAAGAAUAGGAGUAACCAAAAUUCUAUAGCUAUGUAAUGUUUUACAGGAGCAAUUGGAAAUGCUAAACGAAAGAGAAAACUCAAGACGGUGGCUAAUCUCUCCCCACGCUUGUAACAACACUGUACAGACUCCCCUCCACCAAUAGUUACGAAAUUCAACAAUCGAAUUGCCUGUUAGAUCAUCACUCAUGUCGAAGUUGUACAGAGGUGUCAUUUGAAGCAAAGCACAUGCUCAAGCAAUAUCUUAUAAAUCAUUGUAGGAGUCAAAAUGCCAUGAUGAUCUCAAAAGAGUCAUGAUCCAUUUACAGCCAUUUCAGGUGAUGAUUUUGGAGGUAUUAAUGGAUAAUCCUCUCCUCUCUGCCUAUUAUCAGGAGAAGUGUGCAUGCUCUCAGAAUAACUUUUAGGACCAUUUGGUUCUCGGUGGUCAUGAUUAUCCAAAUCAGCACUCCCAUUAUCAGUAGGAUUCCCUUUCUCCUCGUGGUUGGACUCGACAGAUUUCUCAUCCCCAUCUGAGCAUGGACCAUCUUGUACUGUACUAUCCAUCUUUUUAGAGGGUAAAACUGCUUGACUUAAGGUUGAGCAUAAAGCAGCAAAAACACUGUCUCGAGACUUUGAACCUUUAGCAAUACGCUGCAACCUUUUUGGCUCAGGCUCUUCUUUCUGCAACAGCUUACGUUUCAACGGGAAAGACUCCACUGACCCAUCUACAUCAGAAUUAUCUGACUGCUUCCUAGGUGGUGGCUUAUAAUCUUCAUCCUCAUCAUCAUCAUAAUCAACAAGCCCCCCAGAUCUAAAGAACAGGAGUCUCAAAAUAUGUUCCCUUAGUUUAAUAAAUCCAGAUUCCAGCAGUAACAGUUACUUACCUCACAGGUGAGACGCUUGGAGCAGAUCCAUUAGGCAAGGCCGGCUGAGACUGCACUCUACUUGCAUUAGUCACGAAUGCUGAGGCAGAAUCUUCCUCGUCACUGAAGGAUACACAUAUUCAGUGUACCAUAUAUAACAUUUUUACAUGCAAAAAAGUAAAGGCAUACCUCUCUUCAUUGAAAUAUUCUUCUUCUUCUUUCUCUAAACCACGGUCAUCAACUCGUUUCCUAGGGUCGUCUAAUAGAUUACCGAUACUUCUCGUUCCUGCACUGUCUAGAGACUACAAAAGACCCAAAACCAUUAUGAGAGCCAAGCAUCACUAUCAAGAGUGUAAUGGUGAACAACAGGCCCAAUGAAUAAUACCUGCUCAUAUUUAAUUUUCAAUGAGUGGAUCGAUGUCAACUUUUCAAACUUGACCAGUUCAUCCCAGAAUGAGUCGACUAAAUACUUGAGCAAUAUCUUCAAGUUAUCCUGCAUUAUAUCAUGUCAGAUCCUAAGAAAUAAAGAAGCCAUGUCACAUUUAACUUUUGCAGUCUAAGCAGGUCAAGGAAGUAAGAUGCAACCUUACGAAUAUGCUCAAAAAGUUCAAGAACAGCUGAGUUUAGAAGAUUGUAGCGAUCUCCAUUAGCAACAAAGACAUCAACAACAGGUUUUAGGAGAUUGUGCUCUGCUAUGUAGUUCAUCAAAUUCUCAUCCUGCAGUUCGUAGUCAGAAGAAUUUUAAUAUAUUCACAAAUAUACAGAAGGGAAACACUCGAUGAUGAACAUAAAAAUAUACUUCACAGUUCAGUCUGCCAAAUUUGUAGCUUAUUGGCGGACAUGUGAAAUGACAUAAGAAGAAGAGAGAAAAACUCUAGCCGAAAUUGAUUGGUUAUACAUGAAAAGAUGAAAAUUGACUCAUGGUUAACCAUGUUUUUGUGUACGUAAUUUGCAUCUCCUUGAUGACUUUCUAAUACAACAUCUUACUUCAUAAAAAAAAAAAAACUCAAUCAUAGUGAACUUACUUCAAACCUACUACUCUAUCUCAUAAGUUCUGGUUACCAGGGAUUUUAGUACAUAUAAACUUAAUUGAUGCACAUAAAAUCGCAGGGUAGAGGAUUUAAUUAGAGGGUGAAAAUUUAUCUGUGCUGCUAGAAGAGCUUCAUCAUCUUACUUUUACAAAUUUUUGUUGCACAAAAUCUUACAUAAUAUCAAAAAGUUAAUUACUAGAUCGAAGUUUGGAUUUGAUUCUUAAUUUUGAUCACCCCUAUUCUACGCCUCAGUGGACUCUAGGAGUCUAAGGCGGUGUUUGGAUUAGCUUAUUCAUAGGUACUUUUGGCUUUUAAGCACUUUUUUGGUUUUAGAGGUGUUUGGAAAAGUUGAAAAGUGCUUUUAAGCACUCACCUUUAGGCCAAAAAAGUUCAAAAAUAAGCCAAAAGUAGGGCAUCCCCUACUUAUGGCUUUUAGCUUUUGACUUAUAAGUUGCUUUUUAUAAGCUUAUCCAAACAGGGCACUAAAGUACUUCAAGUCUUUCCAGUUUUACCUAGUUAUUAUAAGAUAAAAACCUGCAUAAGAUAGGGUCAUUAAAAAAAAACUUGCAUAAGAUAGCUACCAGUUUCAUUCAACAUUAACCAAGUCUCUUGGGCAAUCAUGAACUCAUGAAUCACCACAAGACAAACAGAACAAGACAGAAAUAAGGAGGAUCACUAAAAGAAAAAUUACAGGCCCAUCUACAGUGCUAUGCGAAAAGCCUUUUAUUUUAAUGACCCAGACAUUCCCUGCAAAAUUAGCUGGCCCGAUCCCAGUUGGAGCACAAGUUCGAACUCAUGACAUGCGCCUACCAUGUAUACCACGCUAUACUUCAUUUAUCGUUUGACCAAGGGCCAAGGCCUUGGGGGCUACUUAUAUUAAAACAUGUAAGAGCAUUUAACGGGGUAAAACAUUCACCAUAGAGGACAAAUAAAUCAAAACUUGAUCAAUUCAGUCAUGUCCACAGACAACACUCUCUUGCUUAAUAAAAGUAACAACUCACAUUGCGGGAAAUAAGAGUUCUCAUAAAUCUAACAGCAGCAACUACCAGGUACUUCUCUCUUCUUCGAGUAAGAAACAGAACUUUAUCUAUCACAUUAUUAAGAAGAAAGUUGCACCUGAAACACAGAAAAGAUAUCCACAUUAAACCAAAUAAUCAAAUUUAGCAUUUAAGAACCAAGUAAUUCCAUACCAAGAUGAGAAGAUUACUUUAUUCUGUAAGGAUGGUGCACAAUACAAAAACAUAGGAGAUCACAAAUAUUUAGUAGUAUUUCAGGCUUGACACUACUUUGCUUUCCAGUCCCUCCAUCAAAACUCUCAGAGUUACUGACAGCUUGGGUGAUACCAUCCGUCGGGCAAGAUGAUGUUAUAACAUCAAUGAGUUGACUUAGGUGCUUCUCGUAGAAGAUUUCAACAAUGUUCUCUUUCUGGAACAAAAUUAAAAGAAAAUAAUAAAAACAAGACUUCAAAAUAGUUGUUGAAAUGUAAGAACAAUAAGAUGAGAGACCCUUUUAUUUAUUUUUUAUGUAUCGAACACAUUGUGCGGAAGGGGGGAUCUUUGCAAAGCCAAGAACCCAAAAAUUUCAUUUCAUAAUAACGGAUUGUGAAAUGUAAACUCAGAAUCUCUGCAUACUCUGAUGCCAUGUGGAUUAUGUGAACCACCUCAUCAAAGAACUUGUGCAAUUAAAGAGGAGACACGUGCAUUUUCUUUGUUUUUUUCUCAAACAAUAGCAAUCGAAUACUUCAAAAAGCAAUUAAGUCACAAAAAAAACUAAUCCCCAUCCCAAAGCACAAGGGAAUCAAAUUGGAGAUGCUUUGUUUUUCGAUAACCGGAAAAUCUGUUGCUUCUAGUUUUGAAACUAGGUGAACAAUGGGUAAACUCCUUAACCUUUUCCAUUUAACUGCCAAACUUGAUCCAGAGCAGGAUUAAAGCUCAUUGUGUGUGCCUGCCACAUAUCCUGUGUUGUGCACCUUUGCCCUUGAACCGAAGCCCUGGGUAAUCAAGUUUGCAGAUGCUGAACCGCCUAAAAUAGUAGUGCCUCCACAGGCAGAUACUAAACCACCUAUAGCAGUAAUGCCUCUACAAGUUCAAAUUUCCCAUAGGUAUAUCUUUAGAACUUCAGAAAGGAGAGAAAAUAUGGUACCACACAUCAAAAUCAAGAAAAGGAAAUACAAUAAUGAAGAAACCAUAGAGAAAAUAAAGGAGAAAAGAACAGUAGCAACAACAAAUAAUACGAUAACCGAAGCAUAGGAAACAACAAGUAUAAAUAAAAUUGAAGCAUAGGGUAGUGGGAGAGUACUAAUAAUAAUACUAAUAAGGGACCUACUAACCUUCUACCAUAAUCCUUGACUUCCAUAUCCUCCUAUCUAGAGUCAUGUUCUCAGUAAGCUGCAUGUGUGCCAUGUCAACUAAUCACCUCUCCCUAAUUCAUUUUCGGCCUACAUCUACCUCUCCUAAUACCCACCAUAGCUAUCUCCUCACUGGGGCAUUGCGCGUCUCCUCUACCCAUGCUCAAACCAUCUCAGCCUUGCCUCCUCAUCUUGUCCACCACGGAGGCCACACCCACCUUGUGCCAAAUAUCUUUGUUCCUAAUCCUAUCUCUCCUAGUAUGCCCACACAUACAUCUAGGGAACAAGCAGUAGACGUGAUCAGAAUAUUGUAAUGCAGUAACUCCACUUAGACAGGUCAGAUAUUAUCAGUAUCUAGGGAACAAGCAGUAGACGUGAUCAGAAUAUUGUAAGGCAGUAACUCCACUUAGACAGGUCAGAUAUUAUCAGUAACAAACAGUGUAAUCCCACAAGUGGAGGUCAGAUAUUAUCAGUCCGAAAUAGAAUUUGUUAAAGAUCACUCACCAUCACUAUACUUGGGAAGACAUAAGAGAAAAUGCUAGAUCCAUAAGGAAAAAAGUACAUUGAACAUUAUGUUCGAAGUGCCAACCCCGUCAUUAACUUGACCACCCAGAUUUUUUUGGACAAGGUACUAAAAUUUAACUACCCGGAAAAAAUAAAAAGCUAGAACUGUCGUGGCAAAACCAGAAAAGCUAUAAGCAAAGCACCUGUGAUCCUGAUGCAUAUGAAUCCAAGAGACUGCGCAGAAUUUCAAGAAAUUGGCAAUGCAUAUCAUCCUCAAAAUCUGUUAGCAUACCUUUGACCUGCAAAUUUGAAGCAUGCUAUUACUUACUUCGAGUACCUUCCAUGGUGGCACUAAAAUUAACAAAUAUGGUCUAAGCCACAAAGGACAUGUCUUUCUGCUAAAAUUACAAAAAUAUCCAGCAUAGGAAACAGAAAACAUCAAAAAAAUGAGAAAUGGAGGAAAGACCAAAUACUUCUCCAGCACCAUUUGAUAGUAACAUAAAGCCAAGAAAAAAGAAGAUGUGUACUAAAAUUAACAAAUAUGGUCUAAGCCACUACAAGGACUUGUCUUUCUGCUAGAAUUACAAAAACAUACAGCAUAAGGAAACAGGAAAUGUCCAAAAAGAUGAGAAAUGGAGGAGAGACCAACCACUUAUCCAAUUAUUUAUAUCAUGAAUCAAGCACCGCAUUCACAGCAUAGAAUAACUGACCAUUCAUACAUGACAGAAGAUGCCUCAGAAGAACAUGUUGGAGGGGGCAGGCAUUAGAUAUCAAAACGCAUAUAUUGAAGCACAUCAUUGCAAAAAUAAAUAAAUAUUACAUGAAUGAAUGCAUCUUAAGAGAAAGGUAACCAACAGCCAGAGUCACACUGAUAUACUGGAUAUUCCAUUAGUCUCCACCAUCAGGCAAAAGUUGAUGUAAAAUUCUAAGGAAAAGAAGAGAAGAAAAAAACAAAAUUUUGCUCACCAGAAGCCCAAACAGUGCAAGACCUUCCUGGCGAAUUACAUAAGACCGCAGAAGAUUUGGAUCUUGAUUCAAGAAAAGAAUGAGGAUGUCUGUCCUGCAUCAGUUAGAAUCAUUUUGGAUGAGAAUUUCAUGGAAGCAAAAACUACAAUCAUUUUAAAAGACGAAAGAAAAAGGAAAAGAGUCUACUUGCUAAAAUAUAACGAUAUGGUCCAUUACCCCGUCAGGACUAGCUUCUUGUCUUGGCUCUCCAAAACAUCAGCUAUGAUAUCGAAUAUGCCUUCGUUAAUAAGAUCCCUGCAACCAUAAUAGUAUUUGCAGUUCUAUCAGCUCCAUUUGCUAUGAAAGCAACAUAAGAUAUAUUAGACUGAUAUUAAUACAAAAGAUGCAGCAUAUGAUGCAUACCUAAAUAGACGAUGUUGCUGGCCCACCUGCAAACUCUUACUCAAAGUACAAAACUCAUGCAAAAAGUGCACCUGCCCAAUCCAAGAAAAGGAAAUAACAAGUAAAGUAAUGAUGAGACUACAAAUACCCUUUCCCAGAUCUCCCGAUAAACAUCAGAAUAAGGAACAAAAAAGUAAAGGGUGAUAAUACUACCAACAUUUCAAGAAUAACUGACAAAGGAGUGCACUAUAAAGGAAUAUCAUUAGCGCAAGAACAUGCCAAAUGUUAGGAACAGGUUUUUGGAUUCAUAGUGAAACAAAAGACAAUAAUUGUUAGCACAUCACAGAACAAACUGGACUACAGGAAAGUAGCAUCAGUAGUAAAACUAAUGUUAAACAGACGCAAGGAUAUAUAAGUUUACCAAUUGCAGUCCCACCUAAGCUCAAGGUUUUCCUACAUUUCCAUUAAACAAAUUUUAUAUCUGACAAGAUGAGUAAUAAGAGGGGAGAGGAUCUUGACACAAUCAGAUCCCUAGAGGAAAGGGUGGAGCUCGAUUUUUUGUCAAAAAAAAAGGGUGGAGCUCAAGUACUUCUCACCAGUUGGCGUAAUAAUAAAAUUUUACUUUCAGUUGUCAAAAUAAAUUUUCACCAGUUGAUUCUAGACCCCAAAUCUAGCCUACACAGAAUUAUUAAUCCAUAGGUUGAAGGAGACGAUCCUGGAUUCUACUCAGAUUCCUCCCCAGCUUGUAUUAGAACUCAUAACCAUAAUGCUGGUCAGGACCAGGAUGCACAAAACACACGCACCGUUUACAUUUAAAAAUAUAUGGAUUUUUGCAUAAUAUUGGGGGGUUUGGGGGUUGGGAUAAUCAAUUACCCUCAAGUUUCUGCUUUGACCAAUUCAAAUUUAAUGAGAAAACAGCAAGCAAAGAAAAUAUAAGAGAAUGACCAACCAAAACAAAAAAUAGAUGAGUCCAAUGACUAAACGAACAAGCAAUUAUCAGAAGCUGACAACAUAAUGAACAAUUAAAUGUCUUCUGAGAAAAAAGAAAAAGAAACCAACUAAUAGCUGCAAUGCAACAGAGGCAACCCAAAAUAAAGAGGAAACAACAAUUUUCUUUACCAAAUUUUUCUUUGAUUCUGCAGAUGUAGAAGGCAACUUUAACUUUCCAAGCAAAUCCUGAAUGAAGGUGCUAUCAUCUUUUAAGAGAGAUACAACCUAUAUCAAAACCAAACAGUCAAGAACUAUAUUAACCAGAAGAAACAACAUUUUAACUUCAGGAAGAAGAUCUUACAACUGCAUUGUUUGAAUGGAUUAUGGAAUUAAGGUUUGCAACUAUUGCAUCAUCCAACACUCGAGGCAAAAUGGCAUCCUGAAAGUAAGCCUACAAACUGUAAGUUACAUUGAUAGUAUAAGGAUGUCAUCUAAAAAGUAAAACAUAAUCACCUUAAGAUAGCCAACUCGGUAUGUUUGAUGUAUCUUCGAUAGGACUAUCGAAUCUUUAAUAGAUAUAGCCUAACACACCCACAAGGAAAUAACAGAUAUCAAUAAAUGCAAACUGAACUAACAUUGAAGACAUUUCAGCAAACAUUCCUUAGAGGUACUAUUGCAGCAGGAAGAAAAGGUGUAGAAAAGAAACAGUGUACCUCCUUAAAGACCACAUGCUCUUUGAGAAAAUUGCGAUGAUGAACAUGAGGAGCAUCUGGAUCAUCUGUUGACCAAAAUAUGAAUCAGGUCGUCAGGACAUUCCAAAAUGAGAUCAAUGUCUUCAGAGUAAGAGGUUGGAGUAAGGGGUUGGCCAUUCAGUAUAUAAUAAUUAAACAAAAAGUUCUAUAGGAAUUAAAAGACAUUUUAACUAAAAGUUGAAAGCACUAGGAUCAAAAACGUACAUUCAAGACACCCAAUAAUAUCUAUUAUCAGCUCAUCACCAAAUAUUUUUUCAAAGAUCUGAGUGCUAUUGAGCAUCACUGCAAGAAACCAUUUCAUGCUGAUUAAUUCAAUCCCACAAAACAAGCCAAAGCAUACCCAAAUGAAGAUGGGAGACAAGUAGGAAAUACUAACUGAUUCCUCUCACUAUUUUGAAAAUAAUGUGAAGAUUCUCAAUAUUCUCCAGAUCUUCGGAAAUCCUAAAUAAAUCCAUCAGCUUACGGAAAAAAACUUGCUGCAGAACAAAAGAACCCGGUUCAGUACGAUUCACCUAUUGAUCCGGAAAACAAGAAGACAAAUGAUUAAACAAGUAAUUCUUAACAUGAACAGAAAUCAAUAAAAAAGCGAAACACUUGUCUUGUUUCGCCCUUUUUGGGAUAGGAGUAGGGAGGGCUCCUCUCCCGUUUUUCUCGUCUUAUACAUAGCGUCAGAAACUCCUCGAGAGUUCACCACUAACUUGAAUAGAAUACUGCACUUUGCAUAAAGAAUUUUCACAAACAGUACAAAAGAGUCGGUCAUUUCCAACUAUUCCAAGACUUGUAAAAGGAUGAAGGAGGCAUGCAAGGAGACAGCAGUGACUGAAGAUCUUUCAGAGUUUUGCCAGCGACAGAAAAAUCUUUACACAUCCAGAGUGAGUAGUGGACCUAUGUUGAGCUACCAGCUGGCCCAGAUUGUUUUCAGUUUGAUAGGAAAAGAGCCAAAGUGGUGAAAAACAGGAGGGGUGAAGAGGGGUGGGGGAAGGGCACUGGCAGUACAGAGUACUAACCUGUACAUAUAGCCACCACUUUAAAGGCAGAGCAAAGUUUAUUAUACCAAUCAAAAUUUUACAUCUAACUUACACAAAACAAAGUUAUAAUCAGCUGAUGGUUCAGUUCCAAUUUUUCCAACUUAUCUAUAACAGAUAAUCAAGUUCUCAUCCAGUUUUUGUUAAUGUACUUGAUAAUUGCUUCAAAAAGGUGAAGACUGGACAUCUAUGUUUUCAAGUGGGUAAUGAAUACGACAGCAAUUAAUUCUGAAGCUGACAUGCUCGAAGCAAUUUCACAACCAUCACUAAUCUUCAAUUUCUUUGUUAGGAGGAAGAUAUUACUAAUGCUAAUUUGAGGUCAUGAAAUCCCUCAUUCCAAUGACAAUUAAUUGUCCAAAAAGAAGUCAAGCUUAGAGAACUGCAAGAUUCAUGAAGCUCACAUCGUUCAAUAUUAGUUCGGUAACACGCAACUGAUCAGCAAUGCCACCCUCUACAACCGUCUGCAAGUCAAACAAUAAACAACAUUUUCAGAAAACAGUAAACAGUAUGAAAAGAUUUGCACGACUCGAAGUGUAUUGCCUUCACACACAAAAGCAAACAGAGCUUUUCCUAUAUUAUAUACGCUAUACCUUAUAAUUUUUACAUGCUUUUUUUUUUGCACCCAAGGGUGUGGCCUAGUGGUCAAUGAAGUGGUUGAGAACCCUAAGGCCUCAGAUUCAAAACUCAGCAGAGAAAAAAAAAAAAAACUAGGUGAUUCUUACCAUCUGUCCUAGCCUUGUCCAGCCUUGGUGGACAGAGUUACCUUGGUACAUGUUGCUAGUGGGAUGUAUCCUGUGGUAUUAGUCAAGGUGUGCAAAAGCUGGCCCGGACACCACGGUCAUCAAAAAAGAAUUAAAUGUUUUUUUGGUUAGUAUUGAGAAAGCAAUCCCCACCCCCGCCUGUUGAUUACUAAGGCACACCCUCAAGUGCAACUUAGAGAUUUGGUAAUUAUCAAGGCAAUAUAAGAAAAAGACAUUUCAACUAUUUUAAGAUAAUAAAUGUUGAAAGGAUGACAAAGAUAAACCUUUAAUAUCAAGGGAAGCGUAGAAAGCUCAACGGGGGGUAACUCCUUCAAAUCACUGUUGACACUAUGAAAUGUCUCAUCUGAAAAUAGUAAAAGAAAAGAAGAAAAGAAACAAAUAAGUCAUGCACAUAAAACCUUUUUCCAACAGGUAUGAAAAAAUUAGUCAACAAAAAUAUCAAUAGUUAUUUGUAAGCACAAGAGAGCCCAAUGAUAGGUGUCCCAGAAGUAGGAGAGAAACUGUGUGGACCUAUUUUUGUAAAAGGCAGCAAUUUAUUCUUUCCUUGUCAUCAUCCUUCUAAAUUUUACUCUUCUUUUCCAAAAACACUCAAGACUACACCAUGUGUUAUCAUGUGACUCGUGUCUCUCCACUGGAGGAUCUCUGCUAAAGGUGGACAGCAGAACAUACCCUCAAAACCCCCAUUUGUCAGUUAAUUGAAAAUGUCGAAAAUGAAAUGUGAACUUGAGAAACAGACUUGGUAAUAUCUCUGGAAGCUAAUUUCUAUAUUUUGUAAUUAAGCAGGAGUACAAUAUCAAUACAUAUAAAGUUAAAAGUGAUCCUUGACAAUUAACACUUCGCCAAGAAAAUAAGAACAAAGGAAGAACUCUACCAGUCAAACGACAAAAUACACAUAACAAAUCAUUACAGAUUUAUAUAUCUUAGCUUCACGCCUAAGCAAUAGAGUAUAUCUGUAUAGAAGAACACCAGUAUACAAGAAGUAUACCAAAAAGUAGAAAAGCUUACAAAAAGAUAUGUCUUUCUAUGAAUGGCACCUAUUCUUUUUAUUUUUAAGUUUAUAUACCGAGAAAUCCAUCUAGAGCACAACCCUUAAGACAAACACAACCUUCAAAACUAGAGAGAUGAUGGGCACACCCUCCACCCUUCUCCAUUUAAAUACUAGGCUUAGGCUUGGCAUAAGGCUUGACCCCAUGACCUAAGCCACAAUCUUCCUCAACCUUUACCAAGUGAGCUAAGCUGUGCAGGGGAACUUACAUUUAAUCUUCUAUACCUACAGCAACCUCGUGGGUGCACCAAAAGGAAAUAAAGAAUAAGAAGAUAUUUCUCAAGUGUAAAAAAUCCAUCUCUAUUCCAUCAAAAGCUCUUAUAAUUUUCUCUCCUCAUAUAGUACAUAUAAGUAUUAGUGAAGUAACAUCGCAUGCCUUGCAUCUUCUCGUUUGUCUAGGACAAGUCUAGCUAAAUAAUACUUUUUUGAAGGAGAAUUUCUAUAGCAUGCUAUUUCUCAAUGCAUCCAGAGGAUUGCGGUGAAGCAACCCAAUAUCGUCAAUAACACAUCUCGUUUGACUCUGCCUAAAAUCAUCAAUAAUGUGCCUUAGAUAAACUAAUUUUGGUUCCCAGCAUCAAAAUUUAUACAUAUCAUGACAAUAGCAAUUAAGUGUUUAAUAAUAGCAACUGAAUUAUUCGUCGGGAAACAUUUUCAUGCUAAAUCAUGAUAAUUGCAAUUGAGUUUUACAUUUCCUGUUUGGCUAUUGAACCACAUAAUGCUAACCCAAGUAGAUUAAUCUCAUUUCAUUUUGAUUAAUUGGAGAACAAUAGACCGAAACUUUUCAAUGUACACACUGCAUAUAUCCUCAUGGGGCCAGAAAUAUGACUAUUCCCACGUGAGUACUAUAUUCACAGACAAACUUUUGAAACUCAGCAUCAUGGGAACUCAAUAAUGUUCCAUUUGUCAAGUGUACAAAAAGAUUACUCUAUAGACUCACUGUUAAGACUACUGAAGUGCAUGUUCCUUUGCACGCUACAUAUAUGGUCCCUACAAAAAACAAAAACAAAAAAAAGACAAGAUGUUAUCUGCUGGUGUUUCUAACAGCUUCUAUAAAAUCUAAGCAACCUUAAUACAAAUAGAUUAAGGAUGGUAGUAUAACCAAGAAAAGAGGAGAAAAAUACAAAAUCAAUUUCCAAAAACUUGCCAUAUAUAGGAGCAACCAGUCGUCUCUUGAAAGCUAAGAGCUAGUUCAGUUGAAUAUUCCGGAUCCCUCCAAGAUAUAAUUGUAUCUGAAUAGAAGAACAUGUUUUCUCAUGAAACUGUACACUAACAUAACAGAAGUAAUAAACAGGAAGAAAGGAGACAAAACUAUGGAGCUGGAGGACACCUUCUUGCUUCCGAUAGAUAUCAUCUGCACUGAUACGGUGCAGAAGCAAAGUCUCAUGAUCUUCUUCAUCAGCUACAAGCAAUCCUAGAUCUUCUGACCUCUGCAUUGACAUCCACAAUCAGAUGCAAUAAAAAUUAACCCCUCCCAAUCAGUGCAAAUGACACGUUAUUUGCCGACACAAACAAAAUGGCAUAAGCUGAACAUCAAUAUUCCACGAACACUUACCUCUAUAUAAUCUACAGUAACAUGACCUGUUCCUUGAUCAUCCCAUUUCCCAUCGUCAUUCAGGCGAUAGACCUUUACACGCUGCAGUGCAGAUGAGACAAAGGUUAAUAUUACAGAAUUGAUGUAAUACAAGAACAGAAUAACGACCAACAGCAAAGCUAAACAUAUUAGCAGGUAAAGCUGCUUAAAGUUCCUCAGCCUGUAAAGAAAUCAUAGUUGAGACACGGCAGGAAGUUUCUUCUUUCUUAGAGGUUUGUGUGUGUGUGUGUGUGUGUGUGGGGGNNNNNNNNNNNNNNNNNNNNNNNNNNNNNNNNNNNNNNNNNNNNNNNNNNNNNNNNNNNNNNNNNNNNNNNNNNNNNNNNNNNNNNNNNNNNNNNNNNNNNNNNNNNNNNNNNNNNNNNNNNNNNNNNNNNNNNNNNNNNNNNNNNNNNNNNNNNNNNNNNNNNNNNNNNNNNNNNNNNNNNNNNNNNNNNNNNNNNNNNNNNNNNNNNNNNNNNNNNNNNNNNNNNNNNNNNNNNNNNNNNNNNNNNNNNNNNNNNNNNNNNNNNNNNNNNNNNNNNNNNNNNNNNNNNNNNNNNNNNNNNNNNNNNNNNNNNNNNNNNNNNNNNNNNNNNNNNNNNNNNNNNNNNNNNNNNNNNNNNNNNNNNNNNNNNNNNNNNNNNNNNNNNNNNNNNNNNNNNNNNNNNNNNNNNNNNNNNNNNNNNNNNNNNNNNNNNNNNNNNNNNNNNNNNNNNNNNNNNNNNNNNNNNNNNNNNNNNNNNNNNNNNNNNNNNNNNNNNNNNNNNNNNNNNNNNNNNNNNNNNNNNNNNNNNNNNNNNNNNNNNNNNNNNNNNNNNNNNNNNNNNNNNNNNNNNNNNNNNNNNNNNNNNNNNNNNNNNNNNNNNNNNNNNNNNNNNNNNNNNNNNNNNNNNNNNNNNNNNNNNNNNNNNNNNNNNNNNNNNNNNNNNNNNNNNNNNNNNNNNNNNNNNNNNNNNNNNNNNNNNNNNNNNNNNNNNNNNNNNNNNNNNNNNNNNNNNNNNNNNNNNNNNNNNNNNNNNNNNNNNNNNNNNNNNNNNNNNNNNNNNNNNNNNNNNNNNNNNNNNNNNNNNNNNNNNNNNNNNNNNNNNNNNNNNNNNNNNNNNNNNNNNNNNNNNNNNNNNNNNNNNNNNNNNNNNNNNNNNNNNNNNNNNNNNNNNNNNNNNNNNNNNNNNNNNNNNNNNNNNNNNNNNNNNNNNNNNNNNNNNNNNNNNGGGGUGUUCUAAACAAAAUAUACAAAGAUAGAGCUACAAGAAUGUAGAAGAAUAUCUACAUUGGUCUCCAGAAAGGCACACAGAACAAAAGAUGCUACAAACUACACAAAUAUUCCAAUCCUUCCUGCACACCUGAAUUGGAGACAAUAUUUCAGCUGGGAACGACAAACCAAACUUAGUUCCCUCAUGUAACGAAUUUGCACCUUAUAAAAAAUAACGGGUAGCCUAAUCGUGCCUUAAUUAACUGUAGUACAUCUUUUAUUUUAAUAAAAGAGACAUCACAUAUCCUUUUUUUUCUGCAGAAAACUGGAUAGAGUUUAAUACCCAAAAAAAAAAAAUCCUUUUGAGAGAAGGUAAUUGUAGUUUAAUGCCCAAUCUCACAUCCAACAGAAUACAAUUACUCCCUCCACGACAAGUAUCAGAUGGUCAAGUUACUGGUAUAAGAAUAGGAAAUGCAAUAACCAUCUAUAUUUUCAAAUGACCUAACCAGGUAAUAUCCUACAUCAGCAUAAGGUCACCUCUACUGUUAUGUCGACUGAUACACACAAAGAAAUUUUACCAUUCUAACAAACUCUACACUAAAUGUGGCUCUUGAUAUCAAUCUGUUGAUCAACAAACAUGUCACAAUUCCAAUACAACUAGAGUAAGCUAUGAAGAUCCACAAUAUCCAUUGGCUCAUUCCAAUGCUAAAUAAAAUGCCUCAGACAAAUUAGGCUCCCUAAAUGAAUCUUAACUAUUUGGUACCACCUUUAAAUAUUCUUUAAAACAUGAUAUUCUAUUCUUAGCUACUGUUGCAAGUCAAGAGCAGAAGCAGACGGAGAAUCAUAACAACCAGCAUAUGGUGGACUAUUUGGAGGGAAAGAAAUCCUAGGUUUUAGAGAAAAUAGAGAAUAGUAUACACACACACACACAUAUAUAUACAUAUAUACACACACACACAAAGUUACAAUUUUCCAAAAAACAAAAUAGCAAGUUUGCCAAAGCUUCUGGGAAACCCAAAGUGCUUAUUUUAUUUAGAAAUGUUUUUGAGUAGUAGCAGAAGUUGUUUUUCAGAAGCUGAAAAAGUUUUUUUUCUCUGAAGCACUUUUGAACAAAUUGUAGAUCUAAUAAUGGCCAAAGGAUUUGAAAAGACUUCCCAAAUGAAAUUUCCAGACACAAACUGCUAUUUUUUUUAUGAAGUAGAGGCAUAUAAAUAACAAAAGCAUCGAGGAAAUGCGUAGGUUACAAAAUAAAGGAAGAACAAUCUGUCAAAAGACAAGGGAGCUGAUAAAUUCCGUAAAAGAGUAUGGGCUAUUCUCACUUGAUCGGAAAAAAAAAGUCAAGGCUAUUCUCCAAAAGCUUUUUUACUGCAAAAGCACUUUUGAUAAAAAAGCACUUCUCAAAAUAAGCAGAUUAUGGAAGCUUUACAAACAGGAUUAAGUCUUCAUUAAUUCUGAGAGGUUUUCGGCAUUUUGAGGGAACUUCCAAUGUGUGAUUAUAGGUUUCUCCCCCUCCUUUUAUUACUUUUUUCUUAAUAAGUAAUGAAAAGUUCUCCUUUAUUACCUUCAAUCCUCUUAUUGUUAAACACCUACCAAUCAGUGGAUUUGGAGGUUUAUGCAAGAUAAGACCUAAUAAUCUCUAGCAAUCUUCUCCGAUUUCGUCCUCUAUAUUUGCUCUUUCCAUCUUCUACCAGAUCUAAACAAUUUUCAUAUUAUUUUUUGAUAAAUAAAUAGAGCACAAAAAUUCAUGUCGCCGAAAAUGGAUCAUUUCUAAUAUGUCCAAUCUUGUAUUAUCGUAAACCAUCUCUUCAUUAUACAGAAGAAAAUAUUAUUAAUGUACAAGGACAAGCACUAAACUAAUGUUGGACAUAACAAAAUGGGAGGCCCAUAUAUACAAAAUACAAAUACAAAUCAUAUGACAUUCAUCGUGUGGACACAUUAAGCCUCGGACACCCACAUUUACACCCAUAUGUCAUUGUUGUUUCCAUAUAAUCGUGUUGGUCUCACAACAGCUUUAUAAAUUUGCAUAAAAUGUUGUUAGGUAUCAUCUUCUUUUUUGAGAAUGAUAUGCUGCUAGGUAUCUUUUGGUCGUAUAGUAGUCUUGUAAUACUCCAUUUUUCAACCAUAUUUUUUUUAAUGACCGUGGUGUCCGCCCAGCUUUCGUGCACCUCGACCCAUUUCAACCAUAUUAUUCUAAUUCAAUGUGUUACAUCUUCAUCUAUGAUCCAUCACAUCAUUCUUCCGGAAGACUAAAGCCCACACAUUUAGGUUGUCAGCAUUUAGGCACAAACAAUCCUAAAUUAUCUAAUUCACGAUCAUUCUUCUUAUCCUAAAACCCUUGCACAAUAAAGUGCUUCUCACAACCAAACUUCCAGCCUACUCCUUCACAUGUUAAACUUCAAACAAUCUAUCAAAGCUAUACAUCUCCACAAAAAUCAACAUCAGCUAGCCAGACUUGUUCAAUUUAUGCCCUCGUUUAUCCCAGACAUUGUUUAACCUCACAAAAGGUGGAGGAUGUUGAAUAUUGUGUGUCAAUACAAAGACAAAAUUGAUUCUUUCUUUGAGCAGUGUAUUAAGACAAAAAUAGCUUUGUGAUCUAUCACAUUAAGUUCGCUUUCUUGUUCCCUCAAUAACAUAACAAGAUCCCUAAUGAGACUGUACACAAUUUUCAAUUCUUUUUUUCCACAAAAAAUCCAGAUGGUAUGGGAAAAUUUUCUCCUGAUGCCUAACGAAAAAGUUGACUUUUAGAUUCUAACAUACAAAUCAAUAAUGCAGGUCCACUUUCAGUAAGACUGAUCAGUACCGAAACAACAUAACUUAGUCUAAUAUCAACUGCGGAGGGAUGAAUAUUAUAGAUAACAAAACCCAUAAGAAUUCAACAGGAUACAAAGCAAACAUAGAAGACAUAAUAUUCCACCUUGCCACAAGUACCUUCUGAAAUGAAACUGAACCAAAACAUAAAUGCUAGAGUAGCACUGCGGAAAAAACCCAGCAAAUAUGAUUUUUUGAGCUCAGCUACCUUCAUACAAGCCCCAAGGCUUUGACAUGUGUCCAAAAGUGAAAUACUUUUUUGGUAACGGAUAUAUUCUGAGACAGGUUAUGUAUUUCUAGCUCAAACGGAAAGACAACAACAAAGCAAAUUCCCCUCGGACCCACUUCAUAAAUACUCAUACCUAGAAAUCCCCUAAACCAAUGACUCAGUUUGAAAUUCACUGUAUAAUUGGCUUUCUCCACGAUAAAAGAAAAAAAUUGACUCCAACUCAAAAUAUAGCCGGUACCAGGUCCCAAGUCCCAAUAAAGAAGUUUCACAAUACCUUAGCAGCCAAAAUGCACAAUACACAGUCAAAUUCUAGUUAAAUAUCCAAUUCCAGCUAGUUCAAAAUUGAGACGUAAUCAAUUCCAUGAUAAUUGAUUUCAAAGGGAAAAAAAAAGCUAAAUCAGUGUGACUUUAGUCUUUGGGGUUACAAAGCAAAGAAGCGAUUUUCGACUGAUGAAAUUCUGUAUUUCUAGCUCAAAUGCGAAGACAACAACAAAAGCAAAUCCCCCUCGACCAGUGGCUCAUAUUCAAAAUUCAAUGUAUAAUUGGCCCGCCCCCCUACUCCUCUCCACUUCAUAAGCACGUUUAUCAUACUUCUUACCUCAAUUUUCAAACCAAUAAAAAAAAAGUAACCUCACACUCAACCUACAGAUGCAAAACAUAUCCUGUCCCAAUAAAGGAGUUCCACCUUACCUUAACAGCUAACAUAAAAUAGUUAAACUAAAAUCACAUAUACUCAAAAUCUAGCUAGUUCGGAAUUGAGACGUAAUCAAUUCUGUAUUAAUUAAUUUCAAAGAAACAAACAAAAAAGGAGCUAAAUCAGUGUGAAUUCAGUCCUUAGGGUUAUAUAAAGCAAAAGGAACGAUUUUUCCAAUUGAACAAUCAACAAAACUAACCUGCAUCGGAUUACUAGAGUUUGAUGACUUCUCUUGAGCACCCAUAGAAACUUCUAGAACCCAAAUUUCACUGUGCCUGCUGUUUUCGGGAGAAUGAUUGAAAUUAGGGUUUUUGAGUUGCAAAAAAAGGGGAAAGAGAGGAAGAGAUAGAAAUGAAGUAUUUGAGGUUAUUUUGGGUAUAAAUUCGGGAUCAAUUCAAAACCCUAACCGCCAUUGAUGAGUAGUGAAUCUUCUCUCUUUCUCUCUCUUCUUUCUCUCUCUCUUCGUUUCUUUUUCUUCUGAAGUGUUCGUGCCUGACCUGACCUUUGGGAAUACAGAAGCAGUACAUUUGUUGAUUGUACAAAAUGACUUUAAUGCCCUUAGAUUGUGAGAAAAAUAUUGGAAUUGCCACUGAUGAAAAAUAAUUUAUAAAAUAUUUAUAUUGAAAAAACUAAAAUAUAUUUAUAAUAAAAAAGUGUCCGGAUUCGUAUAGAGUAAUAUGUGCACCACUUUUUUAGAAGCUUUCGGCUUAGAAGUUUGUUCGGCCUUCUUUUUGACUCAUCCUUUGUUAUUGGCUUCAGAUACACCGCCUUAGGAUUUGGUGUGCUCGUUAAGGUUUUUUCACCAUUGUAGUGAAAGAAAAACGACUAUAAUAUUAUAUUUAUUACGAUUCAAUCUCAUAGCAUGUAUUGUUUAUUUUGGUCGGAUGAAUCUCGCAAAUUUGUCUAUUAGACAACAUUAUAGCCCAAAAGUGUGUGUACCUAUGAACUUGUCGUACGCAUUAUCAAGUUAUGCACUUUCAUCUCUCCUUCUGACGUGAGAUUCACCUAAAGUGUCAUGUACAUUGGUUUACCCUCCAAAUUCACGACAUUGCCUACCUAUUUGAUCAAAGUGUCUUACAAUUUAAUAACAAUAACAUAUUUAUAGUCUCGCAAAUAAGGUUUGAGGAGAAAGGUGUAUUUAUCGUCUUUAAUGAUUAAAUUCACACUUUAAACUAAAUAUGAUGACCAUCAUAUUGCCAUUUUGGUCUUUUCCACAUGGACCAAAAAGAUCUGUCUAUAAAAACAAAAUAUCUUGUAUUGCUAAGUUGAUUCUUUAGACAUAAAAAUAUAUUGGACCAUCCUUAACAACUUAAAAUGUGAAUGAUAUACACAUGUGAAACAAAUAAGGAAAACUAACCUUAACUAACUUUUGGAACACCAUUAAUUCAUCAUUAUCAAAACUCAAAAAAGAAGAAAAAAAUAUUUUAUUAGGUAUGCAAUAAUAAUCUAUAGUACUAAGAAAAGGGCCCACUAUUCAAGUGUUAAAAGAAGAAUGGAGCCUCACACAACUAUUGUUGGUUGAGCCACUAUCAUUAUAAAAAAAAUUCUCAUAUUUCGCUAAACUUUUAACUCACUCAAUGACAAUAAAUCACACAAAAAUUUAAAAAUACAAGAAGAAGAAGAGUAGAAGAUUAAAAACAAUUGUUGUUGAAAAAUGAGAGAAAGUCCCUCUAUUUAUAGUCAACAAAGGGUAGUAUAAACAAAUUUUUUUGUGUCUUAUCUAAAAAGUCAUGACCUUUUAUGAGAAAUUACAACCCUUUCGAAAAGUCAGAACUUAUUGAAAAAGUCACAAUCUUUGGAAAAAUCACAAUUCAUCGAAAAAUCACAACCCUUUGAGAAAAAUCACAACUCAUAUGAACAAAUGUUUUUGUAUCUUAUCUGAAAAGUCAUGACCUUUCCGAGAAAUCUCAACCCUUUGAAAAAGUUACAACUUAUUGAAAAAGUCACAACUCUUUAGAAAAGUCACAACUCAUCGAAAAAACUCAACAAUUUGAGAAAAGUCAUAACUCAACAAAAAAGUCACAACCUAAGUUAGGGAUAUUAUAGUAAUUUAACAUUCAAGUUAGGAGNNNNNNNNNNNNNNNNNNNNNNNNNNNNNNNNNNNNNNNNNNNNNNNNNNNNNNNNNNNNNNNNNNNNNNNNNNNGUUAUAGUAAAUAGUAUUUGCUUAUUUAAGCGAAGAUUUGAAUAAUAAGCUUAGCAAAACAUAAUACUCCAUCCGUUUCAAAAAGAGUGACCUAGUUUGACUUAACACGAAUUUUAAGAAAAUAAUGAAGACUUUUUAAAAAAAUUAUCAGUUAAAUGCAAUUAUGUAUACAUUUAUUUUAAUUUGAUGAGAUUCAAUCAUGUAAUUAGUCUUAUCUCACUAAUAUUACCUUAUAGAUAAUAUUUGUUUUUGCAUUUUUCUUGUCAUCUAACCAGAUGUGUUUUGCAUGUGUAUUCUACCUUAAAUUGUUUAGAUAUCAUAUGAACAUGUGAAGAGAACAACUAUAUUUUAUAUAUUCACAUAUUUUCACAUUUGUUGUGAGUUUUUUUUUUUUUUUUUAAAGAACUCGAAACAUUUUGAAAUAACAUAUUUUGAAGUAAGAAGAUCUCGUUAACUUGAUAACACAUUUGUGACAUAUAUAAUACUUUAAUUUAAAUACAAAUACAUACCCAAAUUUAAAUAUAUAUUUGCAUAAAUGAAAAUAUCUAUCUCAUAAAUUAGGUAUUAAAUAAAAAAUAAAAAAUAAACUAAUAUAAACUUCAACAUGCGUUAUUACAAGUCAUAUGAACUUUUCUUCGUCUAAAAUACUAAAAUAUUAAGAAAUAGUAAAUAAGUAAAACAAAAGAGCAAUGUUUAUUUAGUACUAUCUAUUUUGAACCAAACUUCCUGAAAGUCUAAAUCACAUGAAUAACAUUGAUAAAUAUAUUCAUUCUUUUGUCUUGAGCAUCAAAAACAAAUCGCAACAAUUCUCUAAAUUUGAGAAAAAGAUAUUUAGAAGCAUAUAUCUACAUCAUAAGAGAAAUUGUUAACAAAAACAAAUAAAUUUAGACUACAUAAUGGUAACUUCAUAUAUAUGAACAUUACAUACUAAUGUAUAUAUUAAGAAAAACAACAAUUAUUAUAUCAUCAAAAUUAUAUUAUUUUCCUCAAGUACUCGAGGUUAUGGACACUUUGAAAAAGUCACAACCCUUUGAAAAAAGUCACAACGUUAAUUAGGAAUAUUAUAGUAAUUUAACAUUCAAGUUAGGAGUUCAUGCUUUUAAGGUAAUAUAGAUAUAGAUUAGAAACCUGGUUGAAUUACCUGGUAUGCUAGUCAGUUAAGGACACUGUUUUUCUAGGAUAAACAAGAAAGCACUGAAAGAAGUGUUAAGUUCCAUAAGAUGGUUAACAGAAUGGAAAUUUUAGCCCAUAUUUGUAUAGCUCAAUCUAACUUUCAACAAGUGCUAUUUCUUUUGCACUACUGAGAUUAUACUCACCAAUCUGAUUGCAGAUUAGGACUCUAUCAAAGAGCCAUACCCAACACUAACAUAAAUAAGAUCUAUAUGUAUCAUUUCUCCAGUGCAGAGAAAACCUUAGGACGAUAGUUUUCAGCAUGCAUAGUUGGAGCUCAACAAUGGAUCACAUAGCUUAAACUUAAGGAAGACAAUUCACAUAUGCAGGAAAACAAUUAUCUCGAAUAAGCAAAUCCAUAAACCAGAUGACGUUCCACAAAAGACUAUACAUCAACAAAUCAGAUAACACUAGUUGGAGUCUGCUAUGUGAAUCCUCCAAAUUGAUUCAGCCUUCUUCCAUCUUCCCUUUUCAGUCCAACUAAAUAAUUGUAUUUUAAGACCAACUAGAGAUUUUCUAAAUUAUAAUAACAAAUGAUAAGGCUGAAAAACACGCUGAUUGCACAAGUGACGAAUUGCUAAAUAAGCAUAACAUGAAUUGCAAGGGUAGUGGCGUUAAUGUAAACUGUUUCCAUUGAAAGAGUAAUAGAUUAAUAGUCAAAACAAGGUUGCAUACUAACUCAAGUAUCCACUACAAAUACCAAAACAUCAAACAAAGCUUCAACAAACUCAAAGAUUGCCUGUCAUAAUGAAUAGCUCAUUACUAUAACAAUUCAUUUACUUUUCAGCAGAUUCAACAGUCUUCGGGUUGUGCUUCCUAGCAUACCUCUGGUUCCUCAAAAACUUGGGAUCCAUCUGCAUUUUACCACAAAAAUAAAAAAUCACCAAACUAAGGUAUAACAACAGAUCAACUUUUUCUUUGUUACUUGUUUUCAUAAGCAAAUUCAUAGUCUUAUAUCAGCAAUUAUAGAAUAUCGCUACACCUACUAUUACUCUGUGGCAGUGAUAGCACUUGGUAUAACAAAGUAUUUUGCUUCAAAACUGCUCAUAUUUAAUAAUAUGGUUUACAUUUGCCCGAUCUAAUAACCUUUACAUCUACAUAUCCAAAUAGUUUGAAGUCUAAACGAGAAUCAACUAAGAGAACAGAUGUUUUUUUAUUCAUAAGAAAAUUCAUGAAUCUAUAUCAGCAGAUACAAAUAUUUUGACACCUACUAUUACUUGUGCAGUGGUAGAACUUAGAAUGACUGCAUAUUUUUGUUUUUUUAUAAAAAAAAAGGAGAAAAGAUGUGUCGGGGGAUCAUAAGAAAAUCCGUCAGAGUUUAUAUCAUCAGAUACACACCUAAUACUACAUGUAGCAGUGGUAGAACUUAGCAUGACUACAUAUUUUGUUUUAAAACUGUUCAUAAUAUAUUAAAGGUCAACAUUCACCGGUUUAACAACCAUACAUCCACAUAUAAACUGAGGAGAAAAGAUGAGAUUCUUAAUCAUAAGCAAAUCCAGGAUUUCAAAUAUCUUUGCAACUACUAUUGCUGUGUGGCAGUAAUAGAACCAAGUAUAACUACAUCCUUUGAUUAAGAAACUGUUCAUAUUAUAUAAAUGGUCUACAUUCGCCUGAUUUCGUAACCUUACAUCCGCAUUUUAGCUCAAGAUAGAAAAAUCACCAAACUUCAGUAUAACAACAAACACACUUUUUCUUUCAUCACUUCUUGCAUAAGCAAAAUAGCAAAUCCAUGGAUAUCUAUAUACCUACUGUUAACAUAUAAGGAUAUAUUUACACCUACUAUUACUUUGAGGCAGUGAUAGAAACUGUCCACACACAUUUUGCUUUUAAAACUGCUCAUAUUAUAUAUAUAGUCUGCAUUCCCCCGAUUAAGUAACCUUACAUCUGCAUUAUACCACAAGAUAGAAAAAUAACCAAACUUUAGUAUUAUUUUUUAUCUGCAUUGAUAGGUUUGAGAUCACCAAACUUAAGUAUAACAACAAAUUCACCUUUUCCAUUAUCACUUCUAUGUUCUAUCAUAAGCAAAUCCAUGGAUAUCUUUACACCUACUAUUACUAUAACAUUGUGGCAGUGUUAGAACUUAGAAUAACAACAUAUUUUGUUUCAGAAACUGUUCACACAUACACACAUUCAUCAAAUUGAAUAACCUUAACAUAACAUAUCCAAAUAGUUUUAAAAUCUCACAAAAAUAAGCACAGAAAGGAGAAAAGUUGGGUUUUUUAACAGACCCCUUUGGUGGAACUGUGACGAUGCUUUCUGGGUUUCUUGAUUCCAUUCCUGUGUGCUUUGUAGGACUGAUUGUGAGCUGUGUGAUUCUUCGACUUGGCCAUUUCUUCUCAAAGUAACUGCAAAACACAAAAAAAAUACAAUAAUAAGGAAAAAUCCGGUGAAAAAUCACCUCAAAAUUCUCAAUUUUUUCGAGUGGGGUUAGGGUACCUGUUGCCGGCGAUUAGGGAUUUUACCAGUGAGGAAGAAAGUGAAAGAGGAGAAUGAAUUAGGGUUCUUAUGGGUUUGAAACCCUAAAGCUAUGUGAAAUGACGAAAAUAGCCUUUGAUUUGGUUUUGAUGUAGUAUGGGCCUAGAUUGUUUUGUGUAAUAGUUAGUUUUUCUCUUUGUGAAGUGUACACAUAACUAUUUAAAAACUAACCAAGGUAUUUAAAGUUUAAUCGCUUCAUAAUCAACUUUAGACUUGGGGAGUUUGAAGUUGAAUAGGGUCGAGCAGUGUGGAUCCAGGAUUUCCAUUAAGGGGGCUCGGAAAAAAAAAUUAGUGCCUAAGAUUUGAAUUUGGAACCUCAAGGUGAGUUUUGAACCCCUCAACUACUAAGUCAACCUCUAAUCUUACAUUCAAGAGGUUCAAAAUCAUAGACAUAAAAGUUUUUUAAAAUACCUUAUACAUACAAUGUAAUUUUUUGCAUAGGGGGUUCGGGUGAACCCCCUCAACUACCUCUAGGUCAGCCACUAGGGUCGAGGUUUGAAGUUAGAUUAUGUCAAAGUCAACACAUAAGAUUUUGAAUGUAGUUCAAAUUUAAUGUGUCAAGUUUUUAACUAUCUAAUAACCUUUUCACGAAUAAUUUAUUGAAAUGAUAUAUACAUUAUACUUUUAAGAUAUAGUAGUCAAUGUAUGGGUAAUUCAAUAAUAUAUCAAUGAAUUUAUUAUAUAUAUACAAGUAUUGUGUAAAAUUGCAAAGGAGGAGCAAUAAUAAUCAUAUUUGAAAAUUUUAGAAACCGUCUAUAUUUUAAAUGGCGUCAUUAUUAUCUAAAGCUUUGAAGUGUUAAAAAUUGAAACUCGUAGUUGUGGAUAUGAAGUUUGUUUAAGUAAUGUAAAUUCUUAUCUGGACAUGUUAAGGUAAAAAAUAGUUUUUGAUAGAAAAAAAUAGUUGUUCUCUUCGACAUAUUAAAGUGUUCUUAAUGGGGAUGCACAUUCGUUGUUGUUACUAUAGGGUCAUGAAGCAUAGAUAUUAUACUCAAUGGUGUCAAACUUUCGGUUAUUCUAUAACGUGUUGGUGUUGUUUUUGAGCAAGAUACAAUCUAUUAACUCAUUUAUGAUUUCUUAGGUUUGUCACCAUGUUUCUAAGUGAUUUUCAACCAAUAACGAUAAAUAACUGAUAAACCAAUAUCUUAAUAGUUCUUAAUGAUUUAACAUGUUUACAAAGCGAUAAACUUCAAAACCGAACCAAAUCGACUGAUACACAACCCUACAACAAACUAUUAAGAAAAUUUUAAUUAAUACUCCCCCGUUCCUUUUUAAUAAGUAUUUAUAUUAUACAUGACAAUUAAAAAGGAGCGGACGGAGUAAUAACAGUAAAUACAAAUUUCUUUAUAAUCUACUUAGGUAUUAUGCCGAUCUGGUUAUCUCUUUAAUGUAUAUAUAUAUAUAUAUAUAUAUAUAUAUAUCACCUUCAUCAGCUUUUGGUUCUUCGUUUAAUCUUGCCUCUUGCUGGAAUUUGUUUCUUUUUUGUGCAUCUUCGUUAUGUUUUUGUAACUGAAUUUGGGGGAUUUUGGUUCUUUGGCCUAAACCCAAUGCUUUAGCCCUUGAAGCAGCCAAAAUAUAUGAAAUGCUUGUAAACUGUCCUCUUAGUCCAUCUCAGUGUCAGGAUUGAGAGUCCCUUCGUAUUCCAGCUGCAAUAAAAAAAAAAAAAGUUGGUAAAAUGUAGGUGAUAAAAAUACUCAAAUGUUGUAUCCGAUUGUAUCUCACAAAAUAGGGAAACGGCUCAAAUAUACUAUCGAACUUUGAGAAAGGCUCAUUUAUGUUUGAUGGUAUAUUUGAGUUUUUUCCCCUAACAAUUACCAUUGCUUUAUUAUGUUCCAACUUCAUCCUCCUAUAUUGUUCUUGUGCUUGCUUUGAACGAAACAUGGCCUGAACUCGCACAACAGAUCUUUCAAUACGCUCUUCAGCUUGUUUCCUACUGGCUUGGAAGAAAUCCUCCUCCGCAUCAUCUGAUUUAACUACUUGACUAGACUGGAGUUUAAGCCCGCGGAGACCUUUCCUCUUCAAACGCCACCGAAAUAUUGCCUUUUCAAGCACUCCUACUGACCAAGUUAUCUUCCUGUACUGCCUUCGGACUUGGAAACCCCGGAACACAGCCUGCAUUAAACCAGAAGCAGGUUCCAAAUUAAGGCUGCUGUCUACAGUAGUAGACACACAUAAUAACAGAGUUGUUUUUCCAAGAAUUUUGAAAUCCAGGAGCAUCAAAAAUCAUAUUCACAACGAGGAACCUUUUCAGGUUAUCUGCUAGUAUUCCAUUAUUUUCAGGAAAACAAAGGUUAUAGUCCACGCUUCCAAUUGCAGAACAUGAUUGCCCGCCUCAGUUUGGUGGGCAAAGUUGAAACACACUAAUAAAUUUAACUGAUUAUUUGAAAUUAGUUUAAACUUCAUGUCCUUUGAUGCAUGAGAUGGAUCAUGUUAUCCAGUUAGUUUUAUGGGAAAGCCAAAGAAUAAAGGGGGACUUACUUGAAUUUUGAUGGCCUGACGGCGCAUGUGAAGAAACUCUCUCCUCAUCUUCCAAGUUCGAAACCUAUACUGUAUUCGUGCAGCAGCUGCCAGCUGUUUCUGCAUCUCAUAGUUGCGGAAAGCAUGCUGAAUCUUCAUAGCUGCAAUUAUAUUACGUGCUUCCAUUUCUGAAUUUGAAGACUCGACUGCCUCUGUCCGCACUUUCAGUGCACGCUCCCUGAAAGCAGCCUGGAUACGUGCAGCUGCAUCUGCAGCUGUACGAUAAGCUGCUAAACUGUCUUUCAGAUUUAGCUCUUCCUCUGUGAAGUUCCCGGGGUUUAUUGACUCAGUAGUCGUCUGGAGUGAACCACUGAUAUUUCCAGCUAAUGUCAUAUCAUUAAAUUGUGCAACUAAAGCCUUCUCAGCGAGAUAAGCCCCCAAACCCUCAUGACCAUUUUUAGAUGCAAGAUCGGAAGCAGUACAUCCACCAAGGUUUUCUGAAGUGGGAUCUGUGACCAAAUUUGGUUUUGCUCCAGCAGAUAAAAGAGUUGCAACCAUUUUUUCCCUGACAGUCCAAAUGCUCAAAACUAUUAACAACCUUACACUUGAAAUGACCAAACCAAUCGAAAAUAUAUGCUCCAUGUUAGUUCUACUUUCUUUAUCGCUGGUGCGAAGAAAUGAGGUGAAAAUGAGUCAGACAGGUUGGCGGACAGCAGUUCAACUUCAACACAACCAAGGGUGUAACGACUAUUUUAAACAGUUAACAUUUGCAAAAGAACCACAAAUAGAAAAGAAAGAAUUGAAUGAUAGAUAAUUGCAACAUUCCAGAGCUGUAACUAAGGAUACCUUCCAUAAUAUGCAGCCCAAUGGAGAGCUGUCCAUCCAUAUUUGUCUCGAUAAUCCAAUGACAAACCGGACCAGGAAAACAGAUAUACAGCCCAAGUGUAACCUAGGAUAGCACACAAAUGGAUAACUCCUUGACCUUGCUCGUCAUGUUCUGAGAUUUUACAUCCUUCGACAACUCUUUCCAACAGCCAUUCCUGUAAUCUGGUUUUCAAAGAGAGCUCAAACAAGCAGUCUUUUGCACGUGGGACAGAGACUUUCUUGUCUUCAAUUGAUUUGAUCAGACAGGCCCAAUCAUCAAUGAUGUGAGAACAUUUUCCAGCAAAUGUUUUUGCAUCUUUCAGCAAAUCUUGAUGUAUUUUACUGGAUAGAAUAUUAAGGCUCUUAGAUGUAGAGAACAGCAGAUGAGCAAGCCUCAUUUGAUUUCUAAAUUCAUCCCAAUCAGAUUUACUCUCCGGGGGUUCUGUCCAAACUUGUACUGAAGGAGCUCGAAACUCAAAGCUCAUGACUUGACUAAUAGGUUUAUUACCAUCGAAACUUAAAUAUAUGUUUACCAGUCCAGGGGUUUGAGGAGAAACUAUGCAACGAUAUACCCCAGGUUGCAGAACUUCUGCAGGAAAACAAGCAUCUCCACAAACACAAUGCAAGCAGGAACUUUCCAGAUGUGAUUGUUCUCCAUGAAAUUGCCCAAUGACAAUGAUCUGUAAUCAUAGAGACAAAAGGUAUAGUUGCUAGAUCAUAGCUCAAAAUACAUGUUUAUCUUGACCUUCUUGACCAUGGCAAAGAACUUGGGCAAACUAAAAGAAUAAUAUCUAAAAGUUUAAAGAGGUUAAAAAAAAAUCACUUUGAUAAUUGAACAUAUCACAUUCACAAAACAAGUCAAUGGCCACAGUAUGCUUACCUUUUUCUCCAUUUUUUCCUGAAAAAACUAACUAGUCCUAAUUCUCAACCUAAAAUGUUAUGUCAGGUCAGGUUUAAAGCACUUAUUUUCUUCUAAAGCAAAAUGAUAUUGAACACAUUUUUCUUGUUUCUUUAAAAAUGGAAAAAGUAACACAAACACAUGAAGAGUAAUUAAGCUUCCUUUUUUUCUGAUCACUUGUGUUUUAUAGAGUUUACUUAAAGCCAAUAUCAUGACAGACAACAUUUUUCUUCUUGCAAGGAGAACCAUUGUAUCAGCAUAGCAAGUGUGUGAAGAAAGGACCUUUGUUUCUUCAGUUGAAGAAGCCCACGCAGGCGAUAUUUCUGUUAUGUUGAAUGUCUGCUCCCUUGCAUAUGAUUGACCUGUUGACACUGAAGAUUCGAGAGUUGGAUCGUCUGUGGAUUCUGGAGAAUCAGUAAUAAAGUAGUUCAUCCACCUUCCAAAGCUAUCCUGAGUUUGAAGUCUAUCCUGGUUCAGACUAUCAAAGGAAUCACCUGUGCUUACUGUCAUUACUCCAGACUCAUUCUUCUCAAAACUUGGAGUCAUUUGACCAUCCACUGUCUGGAAGAUGAUCUCAUUUGAAUUGUUGACUGUAGAAAUUCUCUCAAGAGAAGAGGAGACACCCUACAAGUACCAAAUAUUAGUAGCCAACUAAAAGAAAGGGAAAAAAAGAAGAUAUUACCAAGCAUCUUUCAGUUCAAACGAAAGAAAGAUAAAACCAGGAGGAACAAUUGCUAAGGAUGGAUUUAAAGCAGGAGUAAAACUUUGAUCCUUAAAUGAUAACAUAGAUAGCAUACACAACAUGAUCAGAUCACAUAUACACAUGGUGUGUGAAUGCAUGAAAUUAAAUAACAAAUGAACACUGCAAGGAAUAGGUGGAAGAUAAUCUUAUUCAAGUGUGCAAAAUUGAAAUUAAGAACACCAUAACCUCAAAAAAAGUUGUGUUCAAGGGAGUAAGCAAAUUACAGUACAUCGUACAUGUGAGUUGCUAAAGUCUAGAAAGACAUUGUUUUACUACUCUUGAUUAGGUGUAUCUCAUUCCAAGUCACCACACUCCUACACCAAGAUGAUUACUCUAGCUUCUUAUAGUAUAUAGUUGAUUUUUUUAUUUUUUAUUUUUAUGACAAGGGAAACCCGCAGCCGCUACCCUUUGGGUGCGCACAAGGUAAAACCCCCGCUCCUAUGCAAUAGCUCGCAAACCACAUAGUAUAUAGUUGAUUUUAAACUUCAAUAAAACAGGAUUUCUAUUGGGUUUUUCCUUUUUGGUAAUAACAAUAAGAUGGAAGUAUUUCUCCUGCAUGUUGGUGCAAAGCAAGAUACUAAGAGCCUGUUUGGAUGGGCUUUUAAGCUGGUCAAACUGGCUUAAAAGCCAGUUUUUGACUUAUUAAAGUGUUUGACAAUUAUCAAAAGUGACUUAUUUUAAGUCAGAAAUGACUUAUUUUAAGCCAAAAGCUAAAAGCUAGGGGAGGGGAGCUUCUUCUUUUUUUUAACUUAAAAGCCCUUUUAUGUUGACCAAGUAUAUUACCUUUAUGCCCUUAAUUCUUUUAUACAUUUUCCCAAAUUGCCCAUAUUGAAUUAACCCUAACAUCUAUUAUUAUUAUUAUUAUUAUUAUUAUUAUUUUUAUUAUUGUUAUUAUUAUUAUUAUUGCUAUUAUUCUUAUUGUUAUUAUUAUAUUAUUAUUAUUCUUAUUAUUAUUAUAUUAUUAUUAUUAUUCUUAUUAUUAUUAUAUUAUUAUUAUUAUUCUUAUUAUUAUUAUAUUAUUAUUAUUAUUCUUAUUAUUAUUAUAUUAUUAUUAUUAUUCUUAUUAUUAUUAUAUUAUUAUUAUUAUUCUUAUUAUUAUUAUAUUAUUAUUAUUAUUCUUAUUAUUAUUAUAUUUUUUUUUAUUUUUUUUUUAUUAUUAUUAUUAUUAUUCCUCUUAUAAAUAAUUUGUGGUGGUAAAGAAAUAUGUGAAUGAUAGGAAAAUAUUAUUACUUAUGGAUGAAAAAUAUAAAUUUAUUUUUAAGUAUAAAAACCUUAAAUUAAUCAACUUUUUAUCAUGUUAACAGCUUAAAAGGGUAUUUCAGACAUUUUGAUUAAAAAAAGUGUUUACCAACACUUAUUUGCCAAACACAUCAACAACUCUUUUUUCAACUGCAGCACUUUUAUCCAAACACAUAACUACUUAUUUUUAAAAUAAGUUCCAGCACUUUAAAAAGUUACUUUUUAAAAGUUGCUUUUUUUAAGUCAAUCCAAACGGGCUCUAAGAAUUUCAAUCUAAGUAUCAAAAUCAACUUGUCAAUUUAUUUGAUCAUAAAUACAUACAAGUAGUUCUACAUAACUCUCUACUUCUGAUUUUAAGGUAUACACUAAGUUAUUUAAUCUCAGAUGAAGAGAGUUUAUUUUAGAAAAUGAAGUAGAACAUCUUUUGUAGAGCUUGCUCUCUGAUGAACCAUAUUUCCUUAAAAUGGCUCAAGGGGAAAGGUUCCUCCCUAAGAUACUUUUACAACCACCAAUGGAGAACUACAAUUUUUUCUAAAUCAAAGAACACUACUUGUCUUUUCAUUGAUAGCAUAAGAUAUGUGUAGAUAUAAAUAGAUCAUAACAGCAACAUAGAGAAGAUAAAAAUGAUGAGAGAAAAAUGUGAAUUGGAGGACAGUUACACCAGUGAAGCAAGCUGCAUAUAUCUACUCACAUUGAGGCUGUAACCAUUUAAUUCACAUAGAUUGUGUUGCUCAUACGACGUGUGCUGUACAUAAGCAGUUUUACUUCCUGCUGCAAAAUAAUGUAAAAACUUAAUAAAUAACUAUUUUUAUGAAUGUAAAUAAUAAAUAAUGUCUAUAAGGUACAUCAUAUCAUCAAGCAUAUACCUUGCUGGGUAGCAACUAUCUUGUUGGGAUCUCCAGGUGCCAACAGAUCAUCCCAUUCAAGUGUGUUAAUCUCGAGUAGUCUCUGUUCAUGAUUUUGGACGGUCAUAUCCCUGUUAGGUUCUGUCAAUCAGUAGAAGACAGGACUUUAAUCUAGCCAAUUUUGAAUGAGCAAAAAAGGUUUGAACAUAUUCUGAGAUUGCAAUUAGGUCCAAGCUCUAGUAGCAUAAACAGAAUAGGAGUACCAAAUUUUUGCACAUACGUGAAACAUCCUAUAAAAAAUUUAACUCAAUUUUCAUCAAGAGAAUCUUUUCUAUGCUUUUGUUUACAGCUAUGGCUUUGACUGAAGAUUAAUCACCCACUUUUAACAUCAAUAGGGGGCUCAGUUCAAGCUAUGGACACUUUCAUUAAUAUAAAAUGCAAAAAGAUAUCAUUUCUACAAAGUUAAUUUGAUAGUACCUAAAUGUGCAUGUCGGCUAGCGGAAUAUUGCUGAUCAACAGCUGAAUCAAGUUCUCCUGAUAAAACCCAAAAAGCAGACAGAUCAGCAGGAUCGGACAAUGCCAAACCAGAACUAACUGGGGCAGCUGGAGAACCCUGUGCAACUGUACUGUUGGAGGAAACCUGUGAUUGUACAGUGAACAUAGCCAAUAACUGUUUGUAUUAACACACUGUUGGAGGAAACCUGUGAUUGUACAGUGAACAUAGCCAAUAACUGUUUGUAUUAACACACUGUUGGAGGAAACCUGUGAUUGUACAGUGAACAUAGGAAACAAACCUCUUGAGUUUCACGAUAAUGGACAAGGACUACGUGUUCGAGAGUCCUGUGAAGCAGAGAAAUUGACAAAAUCAUACUUCCAUGGACACAUCCUUUUUUGUGUAACUCCUAUAGAAGCCAUUAAGUUUUAACCAAAGAAUAACAAGAAAGUGGGAAAUUUUUUUGGGGACCUAUGAACUAGAAUUAUUCAUACUUGUCAAGCAGCCAGUAGCAUCUUCGAACAAAGGUUGUGUUAUCUUCUCCAUGUGCAUAGUAUACGUGUAUUCGUUCAUCAUUACCAACCUGCACUAAUGAACAGAUUGAAAUUCAUCUUUCUGGAAGGAUUCCAAACUAUCCCUCAAUCAAGAAAACUUCAUAUAGCAUUUAGAGUGCACAUCCUGUUUAAGUGGAGAAGAGAACAGAAAAAAACAAGGCAGAAGUAGAAAUUUAAAAAACAAAAGUCCACCACCCUUUUCCAGCUGAGAAACUUAUUUCCUGAGCAUCAACAAAAGAUUCACAACUUUUAUGCACCAAAGUAGAAUGACAACAGAAGCAAUGACAGCAAAAAAAGUACUAAAAAUAAUAAUAGAAAAAACAAGAACAACCAGUCUUCCAAAGAUCAUUCGUCCAAAGAUUCUGUACAAAUGAAAAAUCCAGGAAAUGAAGUACCAAAUGCACAACAUCUCGUAUAAGUAUUGGGGUGCAGUGCAGGAAGUUUACUAGUUACAUACCCGAGCCUAUCACUUCGAGUCAAAUAUAACACGGAAGUGAUUUAGCAGGAGAUACAGUGGAAGUUCAAAAUAAGACUAUCUAUUUGGAGAACCCAGCGAAGACAAAAAACACUAGGUGAUAUAUUCCAUCUGUGUGAGUCUUGAUAGGCAGAGUAGGUGUUCGAAAUAAGACUAUCUAGACUUAUUUACAGAUAAAAACAAGCAAUGGAUGGCUUUUGAAAUGACUAUAUGAUAAGCAAAUAGAACUUCUAGGAACUCUCCUUUAGCCAAUAUAUGGCAGAUCUAUAUAUGCUAUCAGAAUUCAGUCAUUAUACGUCUAGCCUAGUCUAUACAAUCAUUUUAGAUGUUGAGGUGAAAAGAAAAUUUGUCUUUUAUGCUAUAUGCCUCCUAGAAUGUCCAACCUAAUCACAAAAUUCUAGUUGGUCCAUGCAUAGUUUCCAUAUAUUCCAUAAAGAAAGCAUCCUAUAUCGGUGCAUCUUGUCUAACCACAUUGAAUUAUGCACUAAAGAAGAUAAGAAUUGACAGACCACCAAAAAAAAUAAGCAUCUAUCCAUUAGAAAAACACAAAGCUAGUAAACAAACAAUCACACAAGAACACCAUAUUAAAGGCAGUUAAACCUCACUUUUAAGUGUUCAUGAGCUUCUUUGACAGUUUUCCCAUCUUUCUUUUUCUUCCAAUUAUGUCCAUCUCUCCGGAAAUUUCUGAGCUUCUUACGAUCAAACAACACAAUUGUGCCACCUACGCAUUGGAAAUCAAAGAAUAUUAGAUGAAAUCCAUGAUACCUUCUGUGUCCUAAAAACAUUUUUUCUUUUCCAUGAAGAAUUCAUGUUCGGUUUCCUUUAACAAUAUAUGGAUUUCCAGAAAACAAUCAAAUCAUUGCAAGAUCAAAACCAUAAGAAUCUCUUCAUGCUCAGAAUAAGGUUACUUUUAGGCAAGUUUACAGGCUUGACAUUGAUGUUGAAAUACUUGUGGUUGCAAAGUAUUGCAUGAAUCUCAUUUGGUCGGAGCCACCUCAUCUUUGAUUCCUCCAUUAUGUUGGGAAUAUCCAAAUCUGUGCAAGAACCAGAGAAUAACAACUGUAGUCAGCUAGGUAGAUCCAAAAUAUUAAAUCAAAGAAAAUUCGUAAUUACAAGCAACAAAGCAAAGAAAAUCGAGGCCAGUGCUGAUCUCAACAUAGCAUUUUUUGUUGCAGUACGUUAUAAGGUCACGUAUCCAUUAUAUGCAGUAGGGCUCUUCAUUGCUCCAAAUUGAUUGGAUCACUCGUUGAAUGUCGAGCUUUCCUCUCUUUUGCGGUAAUACCAAAAAACAACUAGUACCAAUUUAAUCCCAUUUUAUCUUCGAACUGAACAUAAUCUCUUCUUUUACCAUUAUCAAGGACGGACUUCGAUGGCAUCAAACAAAGAAGACCAAAUACCAAAGCAAAAUAUAACCGUCUAGCCCAUCCCUUUUCUAUCUGUGCUGCUAGACAGCUAGAGUUGAGAUACGUCACCGGUUACAAGGUUGUUUGAACUUUAUCUCAAAUACAGCAUCCUUAAUAAAGCACUCUCUUCCUAUCAACUUGUUCCUAGGAAUUAAUCUUAGCAUUAAGGCUACAUGUUCUUUUGUGGGAAGUCUUUUUUGUAUCUAAUCAGCAGUUACACUCUAAAUUCAAGUAACUCAAGCAGCAGUACCUAUUCAUCGACCUCGUUACCUUCCUAUCUAAGUUAAAAUAAGCAUUUUCUUCAAAAGGAUUAAAUUUGCAAUACAGAAAGAAAAGGAGAUAACAAAAUAGCAAUGUACAAAACAAGUGUAGCAAUAAAUAUCAAUACACAUUGAAGAAAAAAAACUAUGCCACACCUAAAUUAUACUAUUAGAAGAAGUACGUUCCUAUCUAAGUUAAAAUAAGCAUUUCCUUCAAAAGGAUUACAUUUGCAAUACAGAAAGAAAAAGAUAUAACAAAAUAGCAAUGUACAAAACAAGUGUAGCAACAGAUAUUAAUACACAUUGGAGAAAAAAAGAGUACCUAAAUCAUACUACUAGAAGUACAAAAAAUUACUACCUACAAACAUUCUAUCCUAAUCAUCAACCUCGUAGUGUACCAAACAAGUUUACCAAUAGAUAUCAAUACACAUGGGAGUAAAAGAAACUACGCGAUACCUAAACCAUACUGCUAGAAGUGCAACAACAUCAACUACCUACAAACAUUCUGUCCUAAUCAUCAACCUUGCAAUGUACAAAACAAGUGUAGCAACAAAUAUCAAUAUACAUUGAAGAAAAAAAAAAAACUACGCAAUACCUUAACCAUGCUACUAGAAGUGCUACAACAUUCAACUACCUACAAUCAUUCUAUCCUAAUCCUCAACCUCAAUAACUUCCUAUCUAAGUUAUAAGCAUUUUUUCUCAAAAAGGAUUUAGAUUUGCAAUAAACAGCUACAGAGAUAAGAUAGUACCUUGCAUAGUGCGGAACCCAUGAAUUUCCCAACCUAACAGUCUUCCUGAUACGCUACUUUCCAUUGCAAAAACAGAACUCAUAAUCCAAGCAAAACUGCGUAAUUGAUCAAUCAAAAUCAAUCCACCAAACUAUGUAUAAAUUGAAAAGCGGAUUGUGAGCGUUACGAAACUUGCUCAAUGAACGAACAAUCAACGUCUAAUUAUAUAUUGAUUGAGCUGAAGAUCUUCCAUUAAUGUGCACAUCAAUGGCGUUUUUUUGCCGGUCAAAUUUGUAAGCCAAUAGAAAUAAGCAUACGUUACUUUUUCAUUGGUCGAUCGAGUCGGGUCGGGUCGGUCUAUUGACUCUUGUGUGGGUUGGAUCGGGUCAAUUGGAAUUCUAACCCAUGUUUUUGGUGAUGGCUGCUGUGGAUUUAGCGUAUGCGUGUUGGUUUAGGUAUCUAUAUUUUCUUUUUAUAGAUAUAAUAAUACAUGAAUAUGUCCUUUAAUUUGGUUUCAACUAGUAUUCAUGUUAUUUGAUUUUGAGUAUGCAUAAGUAGACACUUGAUAUGAAAUUGAACAAGUACACAUGCAUGCGUUAUACGUGGCAUUAUACAAAUCAGUUGACACGUAAGAUGAGUGCAUGUCACACAAAUUUUCAUUGAGAACAAGUGUGUCUACUUGUUCAUCUGCACGUGCAAAACGGAAGGACAUAAAUAUAAGUUGAGGCUAGAUCUAUCGAUAUGGCUUAAGCCUGGCCCAACUCAUGAUUCGGGACGGGACCUCGAGUAUAUCCCCGCUAUCCUGGACCGACAACUUCUUGGCUCCGGCCAAAACUCAGCUCUGUCGUCCUGUUCCUGGCCCAGCCCCUCCAAUCUUGGCUCACCGAUUUCGAUCCUAUCCCACUUACUAGUCUUAAUCUCGUAUUCUAUUAUUAUUAUUAUUAUUUUUGUGCCUUAUCAUUUAAAUUAUAGAUGUGUGAUAAUAUAUAACGAUGGAAAACGAUGGUGUAUGUUAUGUACAUGAACAUUUAUUACUUAAUAUACUAUUUUCUCACAUUUAAAAUUACUUAAUCAUUCUAACUUUAUUAUGAUUUGAUGUGAUGUAGAAUACAAAUUAUUUUUUGUUCGUUUGUGAAUUACGCAUAGUUAAAUGGGAUAAAGAUAAAGUAAACACUUGCCAAGUGGCGUCACUUGGACCACUUGUGAUAUACUCUCCCAUGUCCCUAAUUACUUGUCUACUUUUGAAUUAAUACAUCUAUUAAGAAAAUAAUUAAUGACAUAGUGAGUUUACCAUUUUACCCCUAUUAAUUAUGAAGUGGAUGAAAAGUUUUACAUUUUUCAAAAUAAUUAGUCAUUUAAUUGAGAGUAUAAUAGGUAAAAAGAAUUUGUCCUUUUUUGAUUUGUCAAAAUGGACAAAUAAUUAGAGACAACUAUAAAAGGAAAAGUGGACAAGUAAUUAGGGACAGAGGGAGUAUUAGACCAUUCUGUUUCCUAAUUACUCUAUUAACAUGGUGUGUUUGUUCAUAAUCUCUGCCUAAUUAAAUUCAUGAAAUUCAUAAUCUCACAUUUUCAUCCAUCAUUAUCUAAUUAAUAGUAGUAGUUAAUAAGAAUUAAAUUCUGUUUUUGUUUUCAUUUCUAUCCCACAUGAAUGCUAGAAUGUAUCGCUAUUAUACAUUGAUUGACAUGAUCUUAUAUUUACAUGCGAAGUUAGAAAUUUCGUUUGAUAUUUAAAAAUUAUUAAUAUAAUGUGUAUUUAUAUAGCUCGAUCACUAUUCGUAUUAUGAAUGUAUGAUAAUAAUAACUGAAAUAUAACUAUAACCUCUACAAUAAUCCCAAUUCACAUCCCUAAUUAUAUAGUAGUAUAACUUAAUUAUGAUGUGUGUAUAUAUAUACCUCAUUUGAUUACUUUAUCGUAAUAAAUUGCUUCGUUCGAAAAAAAUCCUUUUUUUAUUGUAAAACAAGUUAUCAAUACACGCUAUUUAAGGACAUAAAAUUAACAAUAUUAAAAAGAUGUGUAUCUUUUAUAUAUAUUUUAUUGCUUACUUAAUAUAUUCUCACUUAACCAGAGGGGUUGCUUAGAUAUUAGUCAUUCAUCAUUUUCAAUUCAAAGAUGGUAAGUUUAAGUCCAAAAAAGAAAACCAAAAAAAAAAACCUUUAAAGAAGGGAUACAAUAUAUUCUCAUUUUGAUAUGAUUUAAUAUAUAUAAUAUUAAAAAGAAAUUUCUUAAACAUUAGUUUUAGGUAAAUAAAAAAAACUAACAUUUCUGUUAGAAAUGAAUAGAUUACCAAAAAAAAAGAUAUAUUGUGAGAUAGAAGAGAAUCUUCUAUUUUUCUUAACAUAAGUUUUGAAUUUAAAUUACUAAUUUUCCUUUUUAGUAAAAUAUUUUUUGCUUGAUGAGUUUUGCAUGUCAUUCUAAUCUGAAUUAAUUGUAUCAAUAAAAUAGAAGAGAUUCUCUAUAUUUAAUUAUAAGUUUUGAAUUUGAAUUAUUAAUUUUCCUUUUUAGUAAAAUAUUUUUCACUUGAUGAGUUUUCAUGCCGUUUCAAUCUAAAUUAAUCAAAUCAAUCAGAUAAAGGAGAAUAUUCUAUAUAUAAUUAUAAGUUUUGAAUUUUAAUUAUUAAUUACUCUUUUUAGUAAAAUGUUUUUAGUUGAUGAAUUUUUAUGUGUCCCAAUCUAAAUUGAUUGGAUCAAUGAAAAAAAGAAUAAUCUUUCCAUUCUUAAUUAUAAGUUUUAAAAUUGAAAUUAUUAUUUUACUUUUUUUGUCUCAAUUUAUGUGUCUUCUUUUUUAAAUCUAUCCUAAAAAUACUAUAUUUCUAUAUUUAGUAAUAAUUUAACUUUAAAAAUAUCAAUUUCACUGCAAAUAAAAUGAUUCUUAUCUGACACAUUUUAAACAAUAAAUUUUUAAAAUAUUUCUUUUAUAUGAAGUGAAUUGAAAUGAAUAGAGUAAUUUUCUUUUUUUAUUGGGAUAAGUAAUAAGCAUUUCUAGAUUACGAUCAAAAUUUCAAAAAUACACCUUAACUAAAUUAAAAUCAUAUUAUCCAUGAACUAAUUUUUUUUAUAAUUUUGUACAUCUUUUUUACUUACGUGACAUUUGAGUAUCUCUCACAUGCCUCAACUACAUGAAUCACAUAUAAACCAAAAUGUACAUAAAUUUACAAAAUAAAUAAAUUCAGAGUAUUAGAAUCAUAAUUUAGUUAAGAUAUAUCUAUGAGAUAUGAUAUCGCAAUUAUAUUUUAUUUAAGAUAAAAGGAUAAGGGGGACAAACCUUCUAUAAUUAGAAGAAAUACUCUUAUAUAAAUAGUUUUAUUUUCCCUGGAUUUGUGUAGAGACUCUGUUUUUUUUAGAGAGAGAAAGUGGGAGUUUUUAGAGAGAGAAAUGGCUCCGGAGAGAGAUAUUGAUGAUCAUCCCAGGAACAAGGCGAAUUACACGGCGUUAACUCCGUUAUGGUUUUUAGAGAGGGCGGCGACUGUAUUUCCAAAUCGGAAAUCGUUAAUUCACGGCUCCGUUGAGUACACGUGGCACCAGACUUACCGGCGUUGCCGUCAAUUAGCCUCUGCUUUAACCAAAAACUCCGUCACCUUUGGAAGCACGGUAAAUUUUCAGUUACUUUUUCUAAUUUUUACGUUUCAUUGAGUGUUUAUACCGAAUCAAUAUAUGCAUGUACGUUCAUGUAUUUAUUUGUACAUACACUUUUUAUUCACAUAAUCAUUACUCCUAUCUCAUAAUCAUGAUUAAUUAGUUUGGUUUGGUAUAAACACGUCGUGCCUAAUUUGAUGAUCAUCAAUAAUUACUUAUCUAAAAUAUGAAAAAACAUUAAUCUUUUUUUAUACUAAAUCAAUUUAUUGUAUUUUUUGUUAAUUUUUUUUUGUUGUGUGUGUGUUUUGGUCUUAUUAUAGUUUCGAUUAGCGCACCAACAAGGUAUGUGAUAGAAUGAUAAGUUUGGUCGGUUCUCAGAGUCGAGUCUUUAGGUAUGAAGUCCUUUUGUUAGAGUCACUUUACGUUCAAUGUGCGUGAAUCUGAAUUUAAUCGAACUUAAUAUAAAUAUCGAACAUUGAAUAUCGAGCAUGAAACCAAAAAAAUAAAUAGUUCCAUAUGACGUUAACAGAAUAAACAAGAAAUUAAAAUUUUACAUUUUAGAAUUUUGGAUCUAGAGGAUAUUAUUAUUUAUUUAUUUAUUUAUGUGUACACCGCCUUUUAUUAUUUGCUCUGUCGUCUAUUGCAGUUUGUCUCAAUAUAUUAAAUGAACAAAAAAAAAUGCAGAAACUUCCAAUUAGUUUGUUAUGGACAUCAAUAUUUCUUGUUCAUUUAAUGGAAUGUAUUGUUGUUGUAUUCCCAUGGAUGAUCUAGUAAGUUCUUUUGUUGUACUUGAUACGAGGGCUCUCGGAAAUAACAUUUCUAUGUUCACGAGGUAGAGGCAACAUCUACGUACAUUCUAUUACCAUAUUCCACUAAUUAUUUGCAUCCAAAAAAUUAGAAUAAUAAAUCUAAAAAUAAAUACAUAUAGGCCUCUAAUUAAAAUUUAACUUUAGGCGUCUUUGAGCCUCCCCUGUAUAUGUUGUUGCUCUACUAACUUGCUUCGUUGACAGGUUGCAGUUAUUGCCCCAAAUGUCCCGGCUAUGUAUGAAGCUCAUUUCGGAAUUCCAAUGUCUGGAGCUGUUAUAAAUGCUGUGAAUGUUCGUCUAAAUGCGCAAACAAUUGCUUUUCUAUUGGGACAUUGUGCGGCUUCUAUUGUCAUGGUGGAUCAAGAGUAUUUUCCGUUGGCUGAGGAAGCGUUGAAAGUAUGGGAAAAUAACAGUAAAGGAAACUUUAAUGCUCCGCUUUUGAUUGUAAUUGCUGAUAAAAACUGUGAUCCAAUGCCGGUUCAGUAUGCUCUUGAGAAAGGGGCAAUUGAAUAUGAGAAAUUUGUAGAAACUGGUGAUCCAGACUUUACGUGGAAGGCACCAGAGGAUGAAUGGCAAACCAUUGCUUUGGGAUAUACUUCAGGCACAACAGCUAGUCCUAAAGGAGUGGUGUUGCACCAUCGUGGCGCUUAUAUUAUGGCUAUGAGUAAUGCGGUGGUUUGGAGUAUGCCAGAGGGAGCUGUGUAUCUGUGGACUCUACCAUUGUUUCAUUGUAAUGGUUGGUGUUUCGUUUGGACACUUGCUACGAUUUGUGGGACUAACAUAUGUCUUAGACAGGUAAUUCCUUGUUUCUUUUUCUGCCCGAUUGUAAUUGGAGUAACAUAAACGAAUGCAAGUGUAAUUGUUUUAUCUUUCACCAUAUCGCGUAACUCUGACAUUUAGAGAAAAUGUAAACCAUGUAGAAUAGACAGGGUAUUAUUAUGAAAUCCGACUUUGAUUGUAUUGUUUUUCAUUUUGCUUAAAUGUUUGAAGUUUUAAUUUCGAUUAUCUUGCAUGUAGGUAACCGCUAAGGCUGUUUAUUCAGCCAUAGCGCAUCUUGGUGUGACUCAUUUUUCUGCUGCACCGGUGGUACUCAACACCAUAGUUAACGCCCCAAAAGAGGAGACUAUCCUUCCUCUGCCUCGUCUUGUGCACGUAAGCACAGCUGGUGCUUCUCCUCCUCCAUCUGUACUUGCUGCAAUGUCACAACGUGGUUUCCGUGUCUUACACACUUAUGGCCUUUCUGAAACCUAUGGUCCAUCCACUCUAUGCACAUGGAAGCCCGAGUGGGAUUUACUUCCUCUAGACAUCCAAGCACGUCUACAAGCACGCCAAGGUGUCAGAUACGUUGGUCUGGAGCAUUUAGACGUUGUCAGUACAAACGACAUGAAAUCUGUUCCAGCAGAUGGAAAAACAAUAGGGGAGAUUGUCUUCAGAGGUAAUAUUGUGAUGAAAGGUUACCUUAAGAAUCCGAAAGCUAACGAGGAAGCUUUUGCUGGAGGGUGGUAUCAUUCGGGUGAUCUUGCAGUUAAACAUCCCGACGGAUACAUAGAAAUCAAAGACAGAUCAAAGGACAUCAUCAUUUCUGGAGGUGAAAACAUAAGUAGUGUAGAAGUUGAGAAUAUCCUCUACUUACAUCCUGCAAUACUCGAGGUCUCUGUAGUUGCAAGGCCCGAUGAGCAAUGGGGUGAGUCACCAUGUGCAUUCGUGACGUUGAAGCCUGAUUUGAAGGAGACAGAUCAACGAAAGUUGGCUGACGAUAUCAUCAACUUCAGUCGAUCGAAAAUGCCUAAGUUUUGGGUUCCAAAAUCAGUUGUGUUUGGACCAUUGCCAAAGACUGCUACUGGGAAAAUACAAAAGCAUGUGUUGAGGGCAAAGGCAAAGGAAAUGGGACCAAUGAAGAAGAGUAGAUUAUAAUUAUAAUCUAAGUUGCGCGGACUCUUUCACUUUCGAUGCCGCACCGUGUUGGAUCUUCCAAGAAUACACUACUUUAGCGAAUCCGACACGCACCCCUUGACAUAUUUGAAGAGUCCAAAGCAACAUAGAUUAUAAUGGUCCAUAAAUAAUGUUGAAGUAUAUGUGUUUUCUCAUUGUUAGUACAAUUAUAUACUUCACUUAAUCAAGAAAAUAAUACAAUUCAACAUGUCUUUAUGUAUCUUUGAUCAUUGUUGUACAUAAAUAAGACUGUAGAAUUAUCUGUUCUUGAAUCGUUAAAUCGAUCGUUCUUGUCUUGUAUGACCUAUAAAUCCUUAGAAUUAGUAUACGACUUAGUUAAAGAUAGGACACACGAAAGGAAAAAAUUGAUAUCUACUAGUCGGAUAAUGACAUGAGUUGUACUUAAAGAAAGGAAUGAUGAUUCAUAUAGUCGAUUCCGACUUAUCUAAUGAUUCAUAUAGUCGAUUCCGACUUGUCUGAAAUUGAGGUUUUCUUAUUGUUGUUUGUUGUAUUAGUUGAAAUGUUCAUGAAUUUCUUAUGUAGAUAAAAAAACUUUAUUAUGUCUAACUUUGUUACUAUCAUCGAAACAUGAAUCAUUAGAGAUUCAACUGCCUUAACAAAUAAUGUAAUUACUAUUAAAAAAAGGGGAACUUUCGCCCACUAUAAUAAACUUAAUUAUGUUCCAUAGCUAUAAUUUGCAUAUUUCCGGGUUGUAGUUACAGUUUAAGUUGCCUCGUUUGUAUAAUUCGCAGAUUUGUAUAUUUCAAAGGUUUGUAUAAUUCGCGGGUAUAUUCGUAUAAUUGCGGGUACAUUUGUAUAAUUCAGUUAUUUUUGUAUAAAUUUGAAAUAAUGAAUUUAUACAAUUACAAACAUCAUAAGUGUAAACAAUUAUACAAAUUAUAUUAUACAAAUUCUGAAUUAAAAAAAAGUUAUACAAAUUCUGAAUAAUACAAACGUGCGAAUUAUACAAAACUAAAAGGUUGAGCCGCGUAAUUAUAGCUAAAAGUAGGUCGUGAAUUUUAAUUAAGUCAAACGAUAGCUAUGUUAACUAAUUAACUAGUAUAUGUUUGUUUGGAAUCACAAAAAUUCAAAAUAACUACAAUUUAUACCGAUAUCCAAACACAAUUCCAAUUUUCAAAUACCAUUUUCACAAUUAUUAUAUUUAAAGAUCACUAAGUAAAAAUAAACGGUGAAUCUUCAUAUUUUGUAUUAUAAGUGGCUAGUCGUCUAAAUAAAAAGUUGAAUUAUCAAGUUGAUUGAACAACCUUCAAGCAAAUACUACUCCAAUAACAUUUUUUUGUAUGAAAAUUAAAGGGAUAAGUGUCUGAAAAAUACCUUAACUUUGGUCGGAUUUGCUGUUGCAAUACUAAACUUUCAUAAGGACCUAUUACCUCCCUAGACUAUUUAAUACCGUAUUUUUUACCCCCUGAACUAUUUAAUAGUGUAUUUUAAAGGUAUAUAUGUGCCCACGUGGACACAUUAUUAUUUAUAAUUUUGUAUUAUUUUUUAUGGCCACGUGGGCAAAUAUAUAUGUUUAAAAUACGAUAUUAAAUAGUCUAGGGAGGUAAUAGGUCCUCAUGAAAGUUUAGUAUCGCAACAGCAAAUCCGAUCAAAGUUGAAGUAUUUUUCAGACCCUUAUCCCAAAAUUAAAUUACAUAACCUAAUAAUGACUCAAAUAUCCUAAUGAUGUUUUCAACUUUUAUUUGUUCAAUUGUUGGACUUUGACCAGGGCGGAUUUAAGGACCCAAUCACCCAAUAGUGUUCAGUGUUCACCAUAAUCCCUUUAAACAAAAAAUAUAUUAUGUAUAAGGUUUUUUUUUUAUAUAUAUAAUUUUUAUAUAUAUUAUAGAUUCUGAAUUUCAUAAACACAAAUUAAAAGUAAUGAUCUAGUUAGGAUAAUCCUAUUGCUAUGUAUCCUCAUGUGGAUUUCUAACAAAUGAAGUUGAGGCAAUUAGGAUAAAGCUUAUCUGGAAAUUAUGUGGUUAAUGAAUUAGAUACUUGUACUAAUUCAACCCACUCAACCCCUUAAUUAGAGACACAAUUUUCAUAUCAAAUUUUGUCUCACAUACCACAUUCCUCUCUUAUCCACAGAAGUAGGAAUAAGAUUUGUGUAUGUGUCGUUUUUUUUAGAUUUUACUUGAGACUAUAUUGAUUAUGUUAUUUUUGUAUGCAUAUAUACCACACUCAUACCUCCAUUUUCUUUUUCUUGAUGAAAUCGGUAUUCAAAUUUCAAUCGUAUUUGAGUUGAUUUCUCCUUGCAUAUUAAUAGUAUUCACGCUAUUUUCAUAAUUUCUAAUGGUAUGUUAUUGUUGUAUUGAGUUGGUUUGCUAUCAGAGGCAUAUUCAAGACUUGAAAAAUAUGGUUUUCGAUUUCCAAUCCUCAUAAUUUAUUUAUUUCUAAAUUUUAUGAUUUGAACAUAUUUGAUGAGAUUUUCAAGUAUAUAUCUGACUCAAAACUAUUGGGUUUUGCAGAUCCAAUACCAUAAAUGAUACAAUAUUUGUCCUUAUUCAUUAUAAAAAUUCAAAUAUUUUCUAUCGAACUUUUAAUAUCUUUUGAAACUUAAAUAUAUUAUUAAAAAUGAAGAAAUUCUGACCAUUCAUCACAACCUCGAUAGUCCUACCACCAAAUUUGGUCUCUCUUUUCUUUACACUAGGCAAAAAAUGGAACCAAAAAGUGAGUUGUUUUUCCUUCUCAUACAUAAAGACUAACACACAACAUUGCUCCUCAUUGUCUAUUUGUCCCUUAGCAAUUUUGGGGCCUUAUCAUCUUUGGAUUCUCAUUCAUGAGUGCCACACCUUUUAAAUUCUUACAAUUUAUCAAAUCAAUAAUGUGUGUUUAUAAACGUUUCUGUCCCAAACAAGUUGAGAUAAAUUCAUACCAAUAAUAAAUAUGGUUAAAACUUUGCAUCAAGUUCAUUACAAAAUCACUUAGAAUAUGUAUUGCAUGUAUAUAUUAAGGAAUAACUUUUUUACUUAAGAAAAAUAUAGAUAAAAUUUACGUAUAUUUCAUCCUUCUCAAAUCUUACAUAUAAAAAUAUACUGAAUAUAAUAUGUUGUUGCCUAUAAGAUUAUGACAAAUGGGGAAGUCUAACAAAUCAUAAAAAGUUACAUAUGAAAAUAUAUUGAAUAGUUUAUUUUGUUCUUUUCUAAUCUGUUUAUUUCAAGUACCACAUAGUUGACAUUUUUUGUAGACACCUUUCCUUUUUUUUUCUUUUUUUUUUUCCUUUUACUUUUAAGUAGAUACCUUUCAUUUUUUUUCACUUUUCCUUUUUUUUUUUUUUAACUUUGAAUAAAUACCACAAAGUUAUAAAUUUGUAUUUAUGUUUACAUUUAAUGAUGUUUUAUUUAUCUAAUAAUGCAAUAUUUGAAACAUAAAGUGUGCGUGUUAAUUUAUUUAAAUAUAAAUAAGUCUUUUAAUUUGAUUUAAGUUAAUAUUUAUGACUAAAUUUUAAAGCACGACUAUGUGCUAUUAUAACUUAUUAAAAUGAUCAUUGGGAUAAGGCAUAAGUAUCCUCUAGUCUAGAAUAUGGUCGAAACUUCAGAGACAUACUUUAACUAAACUAACGUCCUAUUAUUUUGAAUUCAUUUUUUUUUGUAAUUUUCUACACCUUUUUGGCUUACCACGUAGUUGAAGCGUGUGAGAGAUGUUCGGAUGUCACGUAAACUAAAAAGUGUAAAAAUUACAAAAAAAAAAGUUCAGAGGUAAUCGAACCUUAGUUUAUUUAAGAUGUGUUAUUGAGAUUUCGAUCAUAGUCUAGGGGGAUGUUUGUGACUUAUCCCAAUGGUCAUCCUAAGUUGUGAAAAUACUACAAUAAAAUUACGCUAAAUCUUAUUUGCUAUUCGUCACGUCAAUCAUCCGAAGAACAAAACUAUUUUUAUGGGGUUGCUAUUCUUCACUCACACGAUAUUAUUGUAUUGAACUUUUGUCCAUUAAUCGUCAUAAUUCCUCAUUACUAUUUUCCAUAUUUUGUUUCGUCUUAUUUCUAACUCGUAAAAAAAUGUUUAAAAAGGUGUCAAAUAAAUUAAAUAAUAUUACUUUAUAUUAAUUUGGAGGACACCAAACCUUACAAAAAGGUCCAUUAAGAGUUGGCUAGAAUAUUCUUAAUUUAAGGUGCUUGUAAUAGCACUAGUACUAAUAGACAAACAUAACAAAUUAGGUGUGUUGACUACAUGUUUGCAUAAAUUUUGGAAACUAACUACACUUUUUAAUUUGGCUUUAUUUGUACCUACCCACCACCUUUUUUUUUUCCGAUUUGAAUGUGAGAUCUUUCUAAUUAAUAGUAAAGAGCUAGAGCUUCGUAUUAUUCCGCCUUAUUCUUCGAUGGUACUAUAUAUAUACAAUAAAUACAACUCCCUCCCCCUUUCACUUUUCUUAUAUUUGAGUUAAUAGAUUUAAAAGUGAGUUUCAAUCGUCCAUAUGAACAUUCAAUAUUCGAUUUGAAAAUGGGUAAUAUGUUCCUGCUCAAUAUGGUAAGUCGAUUUUCGGUGAUUUAUAUCCAUCCCUAACCAAAGAUUGUCGUAUAGUAAUAAGUAUUCUUAACCACACGUCUCAAAUACAAAUAACUUGAAUAUAAAUUCUCAAAGUUCAUACAAAUUAAAUUUAUUAGACUCCAAAACAAAUACUGAACCCGUACGAAAAUCCUCGUUUGGAGUUGAGCGGCAAAUACAAACUGAAUUUGCCUCAAAUUGCCAAAAAGUAAAAUAAAACCAAAUUUUUAAUGGCGCCGUUUACAAUUAAAACCUUUUUUUUUGGCGGGUAAGAGUAUUAAAUCAAAAUUUUCAUAAAAGGGUAUUUUAGUCUUUUCAUCUCCCGAUCUCCUAGGGUUUUUCCGUACUCAGUUUCCUUAUAAACCCCUCAAAUUUUAUAUUUUUUCGGCUACGACUCUUUUAUUUUUUGUCCGUUCAUCAUUAUCUUCUCUAUCAUUCUCGCAGCCUCUGUUUUUUUUUCUUCUUGUCGGUUAAUCUAUAUCCUCUUAGUUCCAGUUUUUAUUAAGCUGAACUUCAGUUUAUUGAGUUUUUUGUUCAUUUUGAGUAUUGAAGUUGAGCUUGUUAGUUGAGGUGGAGGAAUUUUUUUUGAUUUUUUUCUGCUAAUUUGGGGAUAAAAAGUGUUUAUUCAGCUGGUUUUUGCUGUUUUGUCAUCUGGGUCGUGCUUAAGUUUUGGUGAAAAUACUUGUUUGUAAGUUGUGAUCGUUGAGCAGUGGUUGAUCAAGGUGUUUUUUUCUUCAUUUUCUUUGAGCUAUAGCUGAGGUAGAAGUUUCUCUGGGUUUUUUUUCUGUUAAUUUGGGGAUAAACGUUCUUUAUUCAGCUGUUUUUCUCCAUUUUAUCAUCUGGGUUGUGCUUAGUUUCUGGUAAAAAACACUUGGUUGUGAGUUGUGAUCGUUGAACAGUGGUUAAUCAAGGUGUUGUUUUCUUCGAUUUUCGUUUAGUUUCUACUUAUUAGCAGAAGUAGAAGAAGUUUCUUCAAUUUUUUUCUGCUAAUUUGGGGAUAAACGUUCUUUAUUCAGCUGUUUUUUUUCCAUUUUAUCAUUUGGGUCUAGUAAAUUUGAGCUGUGAUUGUUGAGAAGUGGUUAAUCCAAUGGUGGAUACAAGUGAUAAAGUGAGUUAUUAUGCGAUAUCCUUUUGUCAUUUGAUCAUUUUUUUCACCAUUUAUUUGUUGAUUAGUGUUUGAUAUGAAUUUGUUAUCUAUGGUAUUUUUAGGUUCAAGAAACUGGAGAGAUGAUUGGGCAAAAUCAAACCCCAGAAAGGGUCUCAUCAGAGACCAAUCAAAAAACUUGUGUUGAUUGUGGAACCACAAAAACUCCUCUGUGGAGAGGUGGACCUGCUGGACCUAAGGUCAGUAAUUUGGUCUUAAUUUUACUUGAUCGAUUUUUGGUUAUGUAGUUUGUUUUGUUUCAUCUUAUAUGAUAGUGUUUGAUUGAGCUUGAAAUGAUAUUUUGACUUGUAUAAUUGUUAUAUGAAUAGUUAAACAACGAUUAUUGUCGAAAAUUAGUUGAAUUGUAUUCUUGAAAGUUGUAUAUGUAGAAGGAUUACUUAUUGUGGAAUUGUGUUUUAGAUAAUUGUGACAUGUCCAAUCAAAGGAAGUUUCAUAAAUAGAAAUUUGUGCUUGUCGUUUUGGGUAUGUUGCUUGGACUCUCCAAGAUGUUGCCUCACCGAUACCAAAAAAUGCACUACUUUUGGAUGAUCAAACAUGCCCUUAGUGUCUUUUUUGAAGAGUUUAAACAAUAUGAUUUGGUCUUAGUGGCUUAACUAAGAUUUAAAAUAUACAUAAUUGAACCUACAAAGAAGCCAUGGUGGUUCAAUAUCUUUUAUAUACAGUGUAAUUUUUUGAUGAAGGUGGUUUGGAUAUAGUACCUAGCGUCGCUCCUUUAGGUCUAUAAUCCCAAAUUGGCUUGUAAAAGUGUUUAGGUUUGAGAUUGUGAUUGUACCAAAAUGAUCUUUUACUUUGUGAGUUACGGCUUAUGACACAUUUUAUUAUAGGGUGUCUAUGAUUUUACUCAAAAAAUAUUGAAUCUAAUGAUUUAAUCAUGAUGGUGAAUGCAGUCAUUGUGUAAUGCAUGUGGAAUAAGGAGCAGGAAGAAGAGAAGAGCUCUUCUGGGAUUGAACAAAGACGACAAGAAAUCAAAGAAAUCUUUGAGUAAGAGCGUUGUUAAUCAUCAUCCUCAGAACCAGAGUAGCAAUAGCAGUAGCAGUACAAGCAGCAGCGGAGAAAGUACGAAUAAUGUAAUAGUGAAGAACGAAUGCAUUCCAUAUAAGAAGCGAUUACUGCAUUUUGAUCGAGAAGUCGGUUUGCAAAGACCAAGAUCAAACUCUACACACAGAAGAAAGUUAGGUGAAGAAGAACAAGCAGCAUUCUUGUUGAUGGCUCUUUCAUGUGGUUCUGUUUAUGCUUAGUAGAGGAAGAGAAUGUUGUACUUAUUGUUGUGUUUGUAGUACCUUUUUUGGGUCGGUAGAGUAAGAGGGGAUAGGUGCAAGAGUAGAAUCUAGAAUGAUAAGAAAAAGAGCUAAAUCAAUUUGAGAGCUCAUAAGAAUGUAGACUUGAGGAUUGUGUUGUAGUUUAAACUCAAUUAAUUUUUUUUUAAUCUAAGUUGAGUUCAUUGACUUCGUGUGAUUUAUAAGUAACGUGUUUGAGUUGUAGAAGCAGUUACUAAUGUUUGUAUUAGAUAGUUGGUUUAUGUCACAAUUUUUUCAACUUUCUGUGUCAAAUGCUUUAUGUAGUGAACUGUCUUUGUUAGAGUUAAUCGUGUAUGCAACUCAUUUGAUCAAGACAUAAUAUAUAAAUGUGUUAUUUAACUUGAUCUUAUUUCACAGUUUUACCCUUUAACUUUGGGUAUGUAUAAGUAGACACUUAAAUUUGUGUAAAGUUAAGCAAAUAGACACAUGAGUCUUAUGUGACACAAUACAUGUAGGACAAAAAAUGACAUGUAGGACAUAUGUGUUUAUUUGUUCAAUUUUAUAUAACUUUAAGUGUCUAAUUGUGUACAUUCAAAGUUGAAGAACAUAAAUGUGAUUUGAAGCUAAGUUAAAUGUCAUAUUUAUUUAUAUCAAUGUGUUGGGACAAGAGAAAGAAAAAUAAACUAAAAAUGCUUGUACUUAGUGGAGUUGUGGUAGUACAUUUUUUGUUUGGUAGAGUGACAAGACAGGUGUUGAAUAAAAUGAUUAAUCUAAGUUUUAUUACCUACCUCAAGUACCACUUUUGCUUUCUUUCUAUUAAAACACAUUUUGAUUUUGAGGUUGUUAAAUACUUCCUUCGUUUUAUAAAGAAUGAUCUGGUUUGACUUGACACAGAGUUUAAGUAAAUAAAGAAGACUUUUAAAUUUUGUGGUCCUAAAUUAAAGUUAUGUCAAAUGUACAAAAUUGCUCUUAAUCUUGUGAUUUUAAAUAUGCCACGUGGAAAGCAAAAAGUAAAAUGUUACCAAAAAAAAUAUAUGUUAUUCUUUUUGAAACUGACUAAAAAGGAAAAGAGGUCAUUCUUUGUGAAAUAGAGAGAGUAUUUGUUUAUAAACGAUUCAACAUCGAUCUGUGUUUGAAUAUAAGAGAGUGACAAUUAAGAUAUGAAACUCAUGAAAAUGUGAUAAUUCAGAUAUACAACUCAUGAAAUAAAAAAUAAAUUUUAGAUAUUUUUACUCUUUAUUAUUAUUAUUAUUAUUAUAUUAUCAACAGACCAAUACAUGUGAAUCAUAUAGUAAAAUUUGUCUCAUUUUUGUUGGAUGUAUUCAUCACGUGGUUAAGCAAGCAACAGUAGAAGCAUCUUCUUUUUCAUGAUUGAGGAUUAUUUUGUGAACAUAUUUUUCUUAUUAUUUUAGAAAAAGAGAAAAUGAGAUUUUCGUUUUCUCUAACCAUAUUUAAAUAUCAAAUGUUGUUAUAUGUGUAUAACAAUCCGUAACUAUAAAAAAAUAGUAUAAUUUUCUUUGAUACAUAAAUAUACGAAAAAGUAAUGAUUUCAGUUGAACUCACAAAGCUUAAUAACAAACUAAAAAAAUUCUAGAUACUUGAAGAUCCAAAUCUGAACACUAAAAUCAAUCCAGAAAUGAGAAAAAAAAUCAAAAUUAUUCUAGUUUAGAGUGCAAACAUUUGCUCAAAACCGGAAUCCAACGUCUAAAAGUUAGCUUCAGUGUACGAAAAACGGAGUUUCUUCAACCUCUUACAUUGAAAAAUUUCCUAAUGUAUCCUCAUUAUCGUCGCCAAAUUCAUCAUAUUCGACCGGUUCAACACUUCCUUGUUGUUGCUGGUACAAAAAAGUUAAUCCGAAUUAGUAAAACGUGGGAGUUAUGAACUCAAGCAAGUUGGGGGCGGUUAUAUAAAUCCUCAUUGACCAUAUUGCACCACUAAACCUCAUCUUUAGACAAGUCUUAUAAAAGUAACGAAUAGAUAGGAGUAUGAAAACAACAUACUCAGUGUAAUCCUACAUGUAGGGUCUGGGGAAGGUAGAGUGUACGCAAACCUUACCCCUACUUGGCAAGGUAAACAUGUUGUUUCUGAUAGACUCUUGGUUCAAGGAAAAGCGUAUCAAAGCAGAUACUAUAGAAAAAUAAGAGUACGAGGACUAAAAUACUCCGAGAUAACAUAGGAACUAGUAUUGCAGCGAUGUAAAGAUAACAAAUUAAGACCAACCUGCUCGAGAAAGGCACUCAUGAGGUCCUCUUGAUCAAAUGGCUCAGGAAAAGUGGUACUCUGAUAGCUUGAACUAGGAUAUCUUUCAGCGUUAACAUGUGGACGAGGCAUAGGAUUAACAUGUCCAAUUUCUUGCCCGCUACAGAGAACUGCUUCUGCGAUGGGACUAUUACUAUUUACGUUCUGUCCAAUCUGCUCCAUUGACAGAAUUCCGUGGUGUAUACUAGAAUGAUAAGACGUAUCAAAGAUUGAUCCAACAUUAUGCUGAUACAGCUCGUUGAAAAUAUCAUCAGAGUUAACAUCUUCCUUAGUUGUUGACAUUGCUGAAUUACCACUCAUAGGAAAGCUGCUUCCUGUCAACGAUAUGUUCUGAUUCAAUGAGCAAUCUAUCGCUGAAGAUGAUGCUUGGGGAACCUGAUUGUACAUCCUAUCUCGUGCAUUGUGAACGAGACCAUUCUGUGAUAGGAACUUAUUGGAUUCUCUUAGCAUAUUGUGAGCUUGUAACUGUGGUUGAGAAAUCCGUCCUACUGGCAUAUUCAUUCCCAAGUAGGACGGAUUUUGUUCCACGACUGUUGGGAUUCCAUAAAGCAAGUUAACUUGCUUAGUACGAUCGUUCAUCUGUUGCUGACCUUGAUAUCUCAACAUGGGAUUUUCAUAGCUAAAGUGGUCUCUCUGGUCUGCUAACGGAACAAACAUCGGAGAAUUUGUUGCAGGCCUACCCCAUGUGGCUAGAUUUUGAGCAGGAAAUUGACUAAUAGGUGCAAGAGCUUGAAAACGGUUAGACAUUGUCCCAAUGGUUGGUUCCGAGUGUCCCAUGAUAGCAUUAUUCGGUUCACUCUGAUACUUCCGUAGAAGCAGUCUGUGUUUCUGCAGCAAAUAGUUGCCACUAAGUAAGUAUUUCAAUCAAUCAAUCAACCACGCCUCUAACAAGUACUCAAUCAAUCGAUCAAUCAACUAAUCAGUGUCGCCUAUAUGGGAUCAUUUGGUUUCAUUGUGUUAUAUUCUAGUUAUUUUCACCAUUGUUUCAACCUACUAACUAGUGACUACAUGUUGCAAGAUCCAUGAAAUCAUUCACCAAAAAAAGGUUUCGUAAACAUGAUAUAUACUACAUCUUGAAAUGGGGAAAAUGUACCUGAAGAUGGCUAGCAACAUGUUCUCUUUUUAGCCCCGGAACAUUCAUCAGUUCCAGAAUUUUCUUGGGAACUGCCUCUGUAUGCAUAGAUAGAGUUAAGACAACAAGGAAUACACAGAAGAUAAUAUUGACUGUUGAUAAAUUGUAUAGACAAGUUCGCGACAGAUCCAUCAUUUCUACACAAUUUUCUAGUAUUGUAACAAAUAAAGAGACAGAAGCAUGGAAUUCAGGUACGGACUAGCUCUGUGUUGAUGAGGAAUCACACUACUGAAAUGAGGUCUCUAAACCGAACACAUUACCAACAAAAUCAGGAAGAAGAGAGAAGACAUAAGACAAGACGGCAACUUGGUUAUAAUAACGAUAACUCAGCUGAUAACAACUCUGUCUAUCAUGUGUAAAGUUGACAGAUUUCUAUCCACUUCUCGCGAUAGAAACUAACCAAACAAAUCAGGAAAAACGAAAUCUU